rnacentral:lncRNA from 1 species
GAAGCUGAGAAUUAGAUAGUGUCAGGUGGCCACCAACACAAUACAAGGAAAACUGAUCAUCUAUCAUGCUUGGUCUAUGUUAGGUUCAUUACCACACCCAGGAAUCCAAAUUGGUUUUACAACUGAGAUCCACAGAAUUACAAAAGCAAAGAGGUCCAAGCAUUGUGCUUACAAUUUUGUGUAGUUCAUGAAAUACUGGAACAGCACACGACAGCGCAGUCAAAGAACCAAUGGAAAUCACUAAGAUGGCUAAAAUGUAAUACCAAUACUUUACAGCUGAAUAAAUUCAGAACUACACCAUUCCAGGAAUGAGCGAUCUAACCCAUGAUUAACUAAAUCCAAGCAUCACCAUUGUAGUUUAUCACAUCCCUUUUUUGUCAUAAGCGUUUGUUGUUUAUAAGUUCUAAUUUUGGCUAUCCUCUUAUGUUUCCACUUUACAAAAACACAUUUGUUCCGCUUUGAUACUGCAGUAUUGCAAAUCAACGACCUUUCAGUAUUCCACAUUAGUUCAACCCAUAUCAUAUUUAGAACUGUAGUAAAGUGGUAUUUCACCUGUCAGAAGGGUAGAACCAUGUGGAACUGAAUCCCUGGUGCUCAGAACGAGUUCAUUUCAAGGCAAUAUGCCCUUCUCUUGAGAAGCACCUUUGCCGCAGUCCGAUAUGGCUCCUCAAAGGCCUCUGAAAUCCAGCAUGUACCAACAGGACCUGCAGCCCCAGCCCCUUGGCCCUCCCUCAAGGCAUCCUCGCUUGGUCUGAUCGCAACCAGUGUCGCGCCCUUCAGCAGCGUUCCCCCAGGCAGCUCAAUGAGCGGUGCAUAGUGCAGACGCAUACUGAGUGCCGGCAUGAGUGUGCGGUGCGAGCUCCCCGACGGAGAGACGGGCCGCACCCGCAGUUCCUGCAGCUGCCUCUUGUCCAUGGUGAGCACCCCUUGGCCGUCGGCAUCUGUCAGGUCCAAGCUCUCCAGCGUUUCGUGAUUACAGAUAAUCGGGUGCAGCAAGUAAUGCCUCGCCGACGCAGCAAUCAGGGAGCUGAUGGUCCAGACAACGCGAAGCUUGAGCCCUCCAUUUGUGUAGAGAGAAUCAGGCAGGCUCCCCGGCUCUUCAGUCUCCCUACUGGUAUCCAGAGCGGCGGCCGUGCUGUCGGCCGCAGCAGGUUCCGCCUGGGUGGUCGACCCUGUGGGCGGCUUGGACAAGACCGACGAGGCGCCGAGGAUGACGCAGCUGCCGAGGGUGGAGCCGAAGUCGGCCUUCCACUUAAGGAGCACGCCGUCGUCAAUGCCGAGCUCGCCCGUGGGCAGCUCGAUGUGGAGGCGCCGCAGCUCCCUGAAGGAGCGGAGCACCUCGGAGGGCGAGUGGUGGGAGACGUCCGCGACGGGCGCGGGCGGGGAAGCGGGCAGUGGUGGGUCGGAGCGCCGGGAGACGGCCGCCGCGGCGGGGGAGAGGAUCUGGCCGAGCGCGUGGAUGGGCCUGGCGAUGCCGCCGAGCAGGACGCGCGCCAUGUGCGCGAGCGCGCCGCCGCGCCCGCGCGCGGCCGUGGCCGGGGCCUGGUGCGGCGCGGAGCCCGGUGCGGCGGCGGCGGCGGAGGGCGUCGGGUCGUCGGGGAUGACGCAGUCGACGCGGACGAAGACGGAGUCGACGAGCGGCACGAGCGCGUGGAAGCGGCGCGAGACGAGGGCGCAGCGGCCCAGCGCCUUGACGUCGCCGAUGCGGUUGAGGACGUCGAGCAGCACCGCGUCGUGGAGCCGCUCGAACUGGUCCGCGGCCUCGGCCCCGCCGCCGCAUGUGCACCCCACCACCUCCUCCUCCUCCUCCUCCAGCUGCUGCUGCUGCCGCGGCGCCGCCUCCAGCUCCAUCCCACGCAGGCUGCAGGCAGGCACACAGAUCGGGAUCGGGGAGAGGCGCCGGCGCGAGGCGGGGCGGGGCGAGAGCCGGUCGGCCUAGCCGCGGGGCGACCCUUCCUGGUGGAUUUGAUUGGAUUCCCCUGCGGUGGAUCGCUCGCCGCGCUGGUAGUAGGAGUCCCUAGUCGGCACGCACGGCACAAGCUCGCUCACGGCUGGACUACGACUCCUGCGCUGCGAGAGUGAGAGCGAGAGGGGGUCACGGGGAACGGGGAUCGGCGGCAGGCUCGGAUGAGGUGUCAGCCGCGGACUGGGGAGUUAAGCUGGUGCCGAGCCCGUGCCGUAGUGGGGGGGACGUGGGGGUCCGGGUCAGGAUCAGGCAGGGUCACGGCGUGGUGGUGUGGUUUCUGGUGUGGUGCAGGCUGCUGCGCUGGGACAGGCACGCCCAAAGGCCCAAGCAACGGGGACGUCUCAGCGCUCCGCGGAUUCCAGUGGAAAGAUCUUUGCUGCCGGCAAGUGGCUGAAGCCCCGAUGAACCUGAACGAGGCCGGUCGCUCUCCCGUCCCGCGGCAAAAAAUUCCGACGGCAACCACCGCCAGCCACCGGAAUACCAGAUGUGGGAUAGAUAGGAUACGUUGGCUGGCACUGGCAGCGGACCUGGGCUCCAGCACAAACAUCGCGUUCGCAUCCGCGUCGGCGUCGCUGUGGGUGGCGUGGGAGCGAGGGAAACCUGAUAGGGAUCGGUCGCUAGUGUCGCCCAGGGUCAGGGCCGCAGGGGGGGGGCAGUGCGCGCGCGCCUCGCGCUGUGCGUGCCGAGGACAGCGGCCGGAGGCGCCUGUCCCCCCGCACGAGCCGUCCGAUCGAUCCUCGUUCCCCAACGCUCAGGUGCUUUGACUUUGCAGGACACUAGUGGGAGGGCGAGGGAUCUUAAGAAAGAGCUGAUUAAACAAACCCAGUUUGUUGUCAGAGCACCAACUGGUUGGAUGAGAUGAGAUUUGUGAUCGCAGAUGAGAUGCAAAGCCCCAAGUAGGAGGAGUAUUCAACUCUGCUCAAGUGUCAGCACUCAGCACAAGGAAUCUUGGCGCGGGUUAAACUAGUUCGCCGCCUGCAAAACCGACGCAGCAGCGCAGCCCAAAACGAAACGACGUGGAAGGAAGAACGGCACGACUUCACGAGGACCUGCCAGUUGGGAACUGCUCGGUGCUCCGCGUGUGCAAGCGACGCACAGCUGCAGACGACCGAGGGCAAAGACAAGACAAACAGGGCGUCAUUUGGCUGAGGGGUGGUGUGCCGUGUGGAGAUGGGGAAUUGGGAUUUGUGGAAAUGAUUGGUCUACGCUUUUCCAGGGGGGGAGUGUCAUCAUCGGCGUUGCAAACUUCGGUCUCAAGCGACUGCUGCUCAAGGGCAAAAGUGGCCUCCUUUUCCGCAGGUAACCUAGUGCUAGUGCACCGCCAUGAUCAUGCGGCAUCUCUCGAGUGGAUUAGAUUGCUUGCGUUCCCGCUGUCUGAUGCAAUCAUCGGCGAUAAACAAAUAGAAACCCACACCGCGCCAAGCCGAUGUUUCCGCAGUUAUCCUUGCUCGCAGUUCCUAGAUUCUUAGGCCUUGUUUAGAUGCAAAAAGUUUUUGGAUUUGGACACUGUAGCAUUUUCGUUUUUAUUUGACAAACAUUGUCUAAUUAUGGAGUAACUAGACUUAAAAGAUUCAUCUCAUGAUUUACAGUUAAACUGUGUAAUUAGUUAUUAUUUUUAUCUAUAUUUAAUACUUCAUACAUGUGCCGCAAGAUUCGAUGUGACGGGAAAUCUUAUAAAGUUUUGGGUUUUUGGGUGUAUCUAAACAAGGCCGUAGUUGGGCCAACAUGCUUGGCGGCCGGCCACCUUUUUGGCCUUGCUCGCUCUAAAGAAACUAUUGGGCCUGACUGUUCAGUUGAGUCACCUGGAUCCGCAGUUGUUGUAAAAAAAAAGGAAAAGGAUCCGCAGUUGAGUCAACCAAUGUAACAGUCUAACAGAAUCAUCAUCACAUAAAUAUCGUUAGGAGAGCUCUUACACAUCUGUUGAACUCCACCUAUUUUGGUAUGAUACUUUUCUCACAAAUCAGUACCGUUGUCAUAUUUACAUCACCACUGCGUUGCCAGUUUGCCCUAAACCGUGGUCAUUUACCUGUCUCCACUGAAAUCUAAACAGGAACUAAGCAGGUACCAGAUCAUCAUGACAGCCUGUUCGCAUGAACUUAUUAGCCCGGUUUAUCAACCACGAUAUAAUAUUUUUCUCUCAUAACAAAACAACAGCAAUCCUGCUUAUCAACCAAAAAACUAUCAGUUGAAUAGCUCCACAAAGUGCAUUCUAGCUAAUCAUGCCGAAAGGUGAGGCAAAUCAAAUGCUUCAGAGAGCCAAGGCUCACAGAAAUUUUCUACAUUGCAAAAGAAAAAUAGCCAUCGAAUGAGAAGGACCUAAAAUCCAUUUAUGCACUUAUGUCCUGUCAGGGCCGUCUCUAUAAUUUUAAGGGCCCAUGUGCAAGCAAAAAGAUAAGGGUCCAUCAAAUAUUUUUUUUAUAUGUCAAAUAUAUAAAAUAUAUAGUACAACUAAAAAGAAUUAAUUUGCACCAUAUGUUUAGUUUAUAAAAGGUAAUUAUAGUACAAUAAAUAAAUAAGUAGAAUAUAAUUAGAAAUUUAGAACCCUAUCACUGAAUACUAAUAACAAAAUUGGUAAAGUCUCGAUCAGCUAUGCCCUUGUUCUUCCUGCUCCAAUGUCUAGUAGUGACAUCGUGUGGGGACGUGUGGUGUUAGCAUGUCAUGGAGCCACAUCGUUGCAUUGGACGAUUGGGCAAUAGGACGAGAAGACGAUAAAGAGGAACAUUGAUCUGCUCAACUAAUCGAUCAAGCGAGAAUAUGAAGCAACACCAGCAAUAGGUGGAUGUGGAUGACGUGUUGAUUAAUGGAUUUUUUUAGAUUAAUUGAUGGAUUUUUAUAGUGUGUGUAUAAGCCUCCAAAAAAUAGAUAAAUCUAUAUACUAAGUAUUAUAUAUAUUAUAUAUAUACUUAUAGACCUCUUAGCGCGGUGGGCCCCCGGCCGUCGCACCGGCUGCCCACCCCCUAGAGACGGCCUUGUGUCAUGUUUGGAAUGGGCGAUGAAAACAUAGGAAUAAGAAAGAAACAUAAACAGAGAAGAUAAAGAAAACAUAGGAAUAAGAAAGAAACAUAGGAGCAACACAGGAAAUUGAAAAAUGGAGACAUUUUACACAAAUAGUGUUUGGAAUGUACAAAUGGAAAAUAUAUAUUAAAUUGAAAUAAAUAAUCAAAGGAUCACUUGACAUUGUCCCUUAAAAGUAAAUCUUGAAAUGAUACAAACUAUUAAGACUUAACGAUUAAAAUAAAUAUGAAGGCCUAGGGGAAUUUUGGGUCGAGUAGUUCAGAUAAUUGGACUUGAUAUUUUCUUCAGUCGUCUAACUGUCGGUGCACGUUGCACCCCUAGGACAGAGGUUGCCAGACCCAACUAUUGAGAGCCCAACAUGGUGGCAGCACCACAGCAGUGAGAACAAUGUGCGGCUUUGAGUGAGGGAAAUUUGUUGUGGCAAGAGGUUGAGUACGGGUGGCUUGGUGGCAAGCAGGGUUCAAAUCGUGAGGGUGUGCGGUGUUGCUUCUUGCUUCAGUUAGGAUGCAGCAACUUAAGAGAGUGAAUGCUAGGUUUUGAAGGUCAGGGGUGAUGGCCGAGCUAAGCUGUUAACUUGGUGGACCUAGCAUGUAAUGCACUGGGCUCUCCUUUGCAGUUUGGGUAAUUCAGGUAUCGAGAGAAUAUUACUCAAUUCUCUCAAAAAAAAGAGAACAUUACUCAAACUUUUCAAACUAAACUUAGGUAUUUAGAAUUACUAUCCGAAUUAUGUGAUAGUGUAUUUUAGGUCUAUUCUGGGUUCAUGGAUCCGAUAUCGGGUAUUUUGCCCAGCCUUGUGAAGGCCCUAGUACUUUGUAUACCAUCUUGCAAGUGAGACGAGAGACCGCUUCGUUGAAAUUUGGCUGAUACUGAUUUAUUGUGAGAGAGAAACAUUGUUCUUUCACUUAAAAGUACUACCGAGAUAGUUCAACCGAACUACUGAAUGUCAUUGUCCUUAUCUAUCCCUUUCAUGAGGUUGCAUUCCGUCGUCCAUGCCUCUCAACAGCAACAAAUCAAAAACCCAAUCUCACCAUCGUCCAACUCGUUAAUGGUGUAGGCGGCAACAAAUUGAAGGGAAGGGUAGGGGCGAAGGGCGCCAAGCCGGCCCUUUGAUUAUUAGUAAUCAGAUAUAUAAUCAAAUUUUCAUCCAAACAAGAUUAAUUAUACAACUUGUCUAUCUUUAAUCAACCAUAAUCCCAUAAUAUAGGUGAGAAUAGAUUAUGUGGAAUUACGGGUGCUGAAAGAACAAUUUGUCCUAGCUAGUUGUCUUACCAAAUUGUAAAGGAUAAGAUAGUAAUAUCUCACUUUAAUCAACCAUAAUCAAUCACUAUAAUCCAUUGACCCAAACAUUUUGAUUAUUAUAAUCGACAAUCCUAAUUAUCAAAAUCCUAUACAUAAUCCGGAUUAUAAUAAUUGAGUCAUGAUCUAAACAGGCCCUUAGCUUUUUUUGUUUAUCUAUAAUUCGAGUCCAAAAUCAGCUGGAUUUGCUUUAAAGUGUGGCAUGAUUGUUAAUCUUUUCUUUACUUUAUUGAUUCGGAGAUUGAAGUUUGAAUUAGUUGUCUUUCUUCUUUUUUUUCGUGUUCCUAUGGGUUGAAUCGUUAUGGCUAUAUGUUCUUUUUAGAACUGUUGCUCUCCGGUGAGAAAGAAGAACAACAGAGCUCCGAUUAGUGGGCUCACUUUUUGAUUCCUGAGAGUACAGUUUUUUAUACCAAACAUGAAAACUUUCUCGCUCAUUCAUUCCAAACAGUGAUAUCAGCAAAAUGGACGAAUAAGGGUCCUCUGAAAUUUCUAUGAAAAAACUCUGUUCCAAACACAAGAAGAGGCAACAGAGCUCCGAUUAGUGGGCUUUUUUCUUUUUUUUGAUUCCUAUAAGAGUAUUUUCUCCGUUCUUAAAAGAGUGUCGUUUUAGGUUUUCGUGCAAAAGUUUAACUCAAUUUUUAAAAAAUAAGUGCAAUAUCUUUAUCUCUAAAUAAAUUUAUUAAAAAACUAAAUUUAAAGAUUUUUUUAAUAACACUAAUUAUGUACUAUAAAUAUUAAUAUUUUCUUACUAUAUAUUUAGUUAAAGUUAUUUCUUGGGAAGUACAAACGACAUUUAUUCUGCGACAGAGGGAGUAUAUAUUUUUUUUUUGAAGCAACAGAGAAUUUCUCGCCCAUUCCUUGAUUCCAAACUGGCAUUGACGUCAGCAAAAUUAAAUGGACAAACAAGGGUCAUCUGAAAUUCGUAUGGAAAACCUCUGUUCCAAGCGCAAGAAGAGCCAGUCGGAUCUCUGGUAGUACUGGUGUCAUGCCAACCGCCAACAGGAGGGCAUCCAUUAUUGAUUCAUCGUUUCCUACUCGGCUACUUGGUAUCGCCGAUAGUCGGACAUGUUUAAAUUUCCCGUUGCAGGGUCGGAGUCCGACUUGAGAAGGCUGGAGCUGGAUCCACAACGCGUUUUGGGUUCUCGCCUUCCCUUCCCGCCGUUUUAUAAAUGCCCCCGAUCCCCUCUCCUCUAGCGCCCCACACCGAUCCUUUCUCGUUUCUCCUCUCUGCCGCCACACCACGCCAUCGCCACUCCAAUAAUCCCCAGCGAGCCGCCGCCGCCGCCCGCCGGCAGGAGCAAUAGAGCCACCGCCGACCAUGGCCACGGAGCACGGCUUUCCUCCUGGCUACCGUUUCGUGCCCACUGACGAGGAGGUGGUCGAGUUCUGCCUGCUCCCUCGCAUCCAGGACCAGCCCCUCCUGCCCAACGACAUCAUCGAGGACGAUCCGCUGAGCGCGCCGCCGUGGGCUCUCCUCGAGAAGCACGGGCGGAGGCACCAGGCCUUCUUCUUCGCGGCGUGUCAGGCCAUGAACGCCAAGGGCAACCGCCAGAAGCGGACCUGCGCAGGACAAGGGACCUGGCAAGGGCAGGGCAAGGGCAAGAGGAAGCGCCAGCAGGAAGAAGGCGAGGAGGAGGUGAAGAAGAAGCUGCGCGUGCCCGUGCGCGGCAGCGCCGAGACGAUGGAGAUCGAGUGGGACAAGUACGCGCUCAACUUCCACGAGCACGGUGUCAAGGGCAGCACGGGGUGGGUCAUGCACGAGUACUCCAUCACCGCCCCGCCCGAGCUCGCGCGGUCGCCGGUGAGGGUGUACUGCAUCCGCUUCAGCGGCCACGGCAGGAACGCCAAGAAGAACAGCAGGGAUGCGCAGCAUAGGGGCGACGACGAGUUCGAGGACGAGGAGGGGGGGCAAGUGGAUGAUGAUGCAGAUGCAGCAGGAGCAAUGGCCACCGCUACCUGGAGUGCCGCGGAGGAAGACGCUGCCCUGCUCGUCCAAGAGUACCUCACUGCUUUCCCUGUGGCGGCGGUGGAUGUUGUCAGCGCCAAUCCUGCCGAUGCGGCGGACGCAGGAGCAGGCUAUGAUCAGGACUUGCCCGAGUUGGUGGAUGACGACAGUUUCGACUUCAUGAACACUUUGCCUGACCUGGUGCCUCGUUUCGACUUCUCCCAAUGAGCCGAUGGUGCCGGACGACGCAUGAUCAAACACGCCGUAGAUUGAUUUAUUAGCUCCUUAACUUGUUGUAGAUUGACUGCUUGAGAUGGCGAAUUUAGUUAUUUAACUUGCUGUAGCUCAAGAUGGCGAAUUGCUGUAUGGGCUGAUUUUGUGCGUUGGUGGAUUCUUCGAUUCCUAGGUACUAGGAACUGCCUUUUUUAUGAAACAGAGUUUCUACCGCGUUGUUAGUAGUAAUAGUUUGUAACCUUCUUGACUUGUCUUAACGACGAAAUGAUGUCUUAUUUGUGAUCACUGGCGAGUGUGGACGAUUCAAAAUCUGCUUAUGUCUCUGCUAUUGUUUUGUUUUAGUACUUCCAGUUCUACUUGUUGCAGAAUUGAGAAUUAUGAAAGAACCAUGAUAUAUGUUGCAGAAUUGAGAACUACUAUGAAGUAGUAAACUCCUCGGUUGCAUUACUAAUCGGUUGGCCUCCGAUGUUUAAGCAUAACGGAUUAUCGGGCUUCAGCGUUUUUUUUUAAUUUAGUAAAUCGGGCUUCAGCGUUGUUCACUCCCAAUUGCCACAGUUGACUAAACAUCCAGCAGCGCAGACCAUUCCAAAGUAAAACCAGCUUGAUGACUGAGCACUCAAAGAGGCCAGGCUUCUUCCAGACCAGGUCUGAACCAAAGUAAAAAAAAAAAUGAUCUAUCAAUCAGCGACUCCUGGCCCAAAGGGACCAGGCUUUUCCCAGGCCGAGCCGUAUAUUCAUAUAUGUCUGCAAUUGAAUCGAAUCACAGGCAGACAUUCAACGUUGCAAGCACCCAAGCAUGCCGCACAUGAUUUGCUUUGAAAAAUGCCUAAAAUCGAUGCUCCAGCAAAACUACAGUUGACAAUAACAAAAUAAGUUGCUUUGCAAUUAGUCCAUUUACACAAGAGAAGCUUUGCCAAAAAGCUCCCGGGAUUUAGAGUUCAAAAUGACCAAAGUAGCGUGCUUGUUUUCUCUUUAUAAAUCUUGAUAUGGUAGAAACGUCGCCUUGAAUGAUUAUCUGGCCAUCUUCCAUAUAAAUGGCGCCAUCUGCAUAUUUCAGCUCCUCCAACCGAUGAGUCACCCAUAACGCGGCGACCUCCCCAUCAGCAGCCACAGAGUUCCUCACUGCCUUUAUCACGCCUAUCUGCAGUUGCAGCAAACGGAGGUUAGAGUGCAGAACUUCACAACCAGCAAAAUGACUACAAAAGUUUUACCAGAGCAUUUGCCAUAAAACGUUACAGUGCACGUUAGACAAAACUAAUAUAAGACGGCAUGAUGAUAAGCUCCAACGAAUGGGAAAGAAAUUCACAGGAUCAUACAAAUCAGAAUAUGAAGGAGAUUCGUACCUGGUCAUGUUCAUCUAAGAAUGUGGUCAGUUCAUCCAGCAAUAAUACUUUGGAUGCUUCAGCUAACGCCCCAGCAAUUGCAACUCUCUGUUUCUGCCCACCACUCAGAGUUUGGAUUGGCCUCUGUUUGAAUGCAGGUUUAUGAACAUUACGAACACAUUAGAUUAUGCUCCAAAAGCUGGAUUUUAGCUGCCUACCUGAGAGUAGCUCAACAUCCCAACAGCAUCCAAAGAUUUUGAUACCCUUAACCUGACCUCAUCUAAUGGAAGUUUGAGCUUACCAAGACCAAAUGCUACAUCAGAUUCCACUGUAGGCAUCACAACCUGCAUCCAAAGGACAGAACUGAGAAAACCACAGUUCUUCCAUAUAAAGACAUGGUAUAAAGACUCGAGCGCAUGGACAGUCUGGGGCUGAAGUUCUUGGCUUGACGACCAGGUGGAAGCUUUCGUAAUGCUAGAACUUGUUUGAUUCCAAUGUGUGCAUUUGAGUUCUGAACAUAAAGUACGAUUUGCCAAAAAAAAAAGAGGAAGAUCACAAGUUCAUGGUUUAGUAGGCAGUGAGUUAGAUUUGAUUCAACAUGACUCCUGUAAAUGUGAUGUCCCCAACAAAGAAGGCUACUAAGGAACACAGAACUAGAUGCACAAGUGAUGGCACCUUUUCUCUAGCAUGGAACAAGAAUAUUAUAAUCAGAUUGCAUGACUCAUCUUAAAACUAAGCUCCGAGUGCAUUUAAGUGGAUAUUGUGCGAAUUUGGAGUUGGAGCUCUAGCAGGAUAUGCAUGGAAAAGCUUUUGUGACAAAUUGUCCGUGUCUAUGACAUAGUUCACAUAUUGAGCCACAUGAUUAAAUGUAUAAUUACAAGCAUCAAUUUAUAUGGUUUAACCAAAGACAUCAUUUACUCGUCCAAUACAAAGUAAAAUAGCCAAUAGCUGCUCAGAGUUUAACACAUAAGCUGAUACAGGUUACACUGAAACUGAAUUCAAUGGAUGCUAUGUGAGUUAAUUGUGUUGGCAUACUACAGAUUCCACUUAAAAUGUAUUGUGAGACCUGACAAUAAACCAGUUAGAAAACUAUUAAAGAAAGAGAAGUUUUACCACCUGGUGAUCAGGAUUUUGGAAGACAUAGCUGCAUGGUCUGUUUACAUACACUGUACCAGCCGAAGGAUUCAGAAAACCUGCUAAAACCUAGAAAAACUUGGUGUUGGCAUUUAUUCACAGUGACAGUGAUAAUAAAUGAAUAAAUAAAUUCUCAAAGUUCUGGUACCUAGUGAUCAGAAAUGAGCACAAUGCAUGUAGCUAACAACUUUACAAGGACUUUACAAGGGCAAGUAGAUAAAACCAACUCAUGCUUGUUUCUUCCACAUGAAUGUAACAGUAACUACAUUAUUAUUUAUAAUUAAGUAACAUAAACUAUAUUCUGGCCCAAAAAACAAUGGGUGUAAAUUAACUCUGACUACUGUCAUUUGCUGCUCCAUUGCUCAACCCCUUUGUGAUGAUGCACCAGACCACAAAAGAGAUACAGAAUUGACAUUCGUGACAUCCGUACAAAGGUUUUCUUAGAUUUUCUUAUUGGCUUUACUGUGGACUUUCUAUUGAUCCCUGAUAGAAACUGGAAAUUUUGCCGGGCAAUAUGGUUAUGGUUGCAUCAGUACACUAAAUGGCAUGCACAUUCACAAGUCACCGAAACCUUUCCUGAGAAUUUUGGGUCCCCCAAAGGUACAAAGGCUUGCUUGAACAUUUUCAUGAAGUUUAACUAGCCCUUCCUCCCCACAAAUCUGUGCUCGCAGCUCACAAGGUUCAGAGGUUGAGGGGAUGGACCUCGAUUCCAUCCAGAUUGUAUUCUAUUUUCACUUCUAAUCGAAAAACUGCCGGACAUAAUUGAUAGUAUCUAAUUCAUAUCUACCAAGUAAAUUGGGCACUACACACAGCAGGAAACUAUUUUCUUCGUUUCAAAUUGGAGGCAACAGGGGCAUUCCACGUUUGACUGUUGAAUGCAGAUAACAAAGGUGCUAAAUCAAUCGCUUAAGGCAAUCACCAAUCUGAGAAAUUCAGUACUGAUUUCAAUUCUCAGGUCUGCACGAAUAAAGUGGGAGCGAAAGACACGAAAUGAUGUCUCCUAGUUUAGAGGAGGAACCUUCAGCAGGGUGGACUUGCCGCAGCCGUUGGGCCCGAGGAGCAUCCAGAGCUGCCCGGGUGGGACAAGGAGGGAGCAUCCCUUAAGCACCGGCAACACCCUGCCCCGCCGCGUGGUCACCGAGAGCCCGACGUCGCGGCCCUCGAUGGCGGAAGCGGCUGGAGGAGAGAAGGUCGAGGCGCACAUCGCUAAGCUUCGACGAGGGGGAGCGUCCAGGGUGUGAUGAACGGUGGUGGAGGAGGAGGACACGGAGGGACAGCACCGGAGGGGGCCGACGCCGCCGGCGAGGCCGUGCGCCAUCCCUCUCGGCGAGCUAAGAAGUAAGAAGAGAGGCAGGACUGAGGAGUUUCUGGGCCGAUGCUCUACAUGGAUAGGUGUCGGCCAUGCUUAUAACUAAAUGGGCCCGAUCUGUCAUGGCUUUCGUGCACGGAUGGGCCGCGCCAAUGUGUAUCACUUGCAUCAGUUGUCGUUUCUCCAAAAAAAAAAAAAGCAUCAGUUGUCCUCAAAAAAUAAGUUGCAUGUACUACUUCACUUCUGCAUGAACUCCACGGUGGUAGCCCGUAGGAAUACUUCACGUCAAUUUAUCAUCGUAAUUAACAGUAAUACUCUAUAUGUAUUGCCUUCUACAGUUGAUCGUCAGUUUCAUGUUUUGAGGGAAAAGAAGUUGAUUGCCAGUUUAAAAUCGGCGAAUAGGGUUUCACCAUGACUAGAUAGAUGAGUAUAAAAUAAGAUAAGAUAAAGAUAUGAUAGAGAAGAGAUAGAGAGAAGCUCAUUGAAGGCAACCUUAUAAUAGGAGCGGUCGAGCUGAAAAGAAAGAAGAGAAGGGAAGGUGAUGACAACGAUAAUAACCUUAAGCCAAUGAAUGGUUGAGUAGAGUUUGUGCGGAUGGAAUAGGAGGGGCAUAUAGCAAAGUUUUUCUCAUGCAUAUCUGAUGCCCUCUCGAAAGGCAACCAAGAUAUUUUCUUGUUUGAUUGAGAUACCACCUAAUCAAUUGCUCCUGAUAAAUUGCAGAACACUUGUGAUCCUACCUAAUCUGCGAGUCUUCAUUCUGGACUUCUUGAGCGUAGUAUAGGAUUAAGCCAUGGUGUGCACAAAAACAUGCAAGGAAGCGACUAAAAACGGAUUACAUAAAUUAAAGACGACCUCCAUUUACUAUCAUUUUUAUUUUAUGUGCAUGCUUUUUUUUAGAACUAGGAAGAUUUUCCGCGGGUACGAAGAAGAAAUAUAAAUAGGUUGGAAUGUGUAUUGCUUAGUUGGAAAGAUUGCAUGUUUAGAGAAAUAUGUCACUUGCUGACGUAGACAUUACAAUUGCAUGGGCUAGUGAAUUUUAAUUAUGUGUGAUAGUGGAUUGCUAUGUAGUACAGUUUUGCUUUAUAAGAAUAUAAGGCUUUGUUUAGUUCCAUUUUUUUGUGCAAAAUAAACACUGUAACACUUUCGUUUGUAUUUGACAAAUAUUGUUUAAUCAUGGACUAACUAGAACCAAAAAAAUAAUCUCGCAAAUUACAGGUGAACUGUAUAAUUAGUUUUUAUUUUCAUCUAUAAUUAAUGUUCUAUACAUUCAUCUAAAGAUUCGAUGUAGUGGAGAAUGUAAAAAAUUUUGUAAUUUUUUUGAACUAAACAAGACCUAAGAUUACACAUUACAACAUGGAUACCCACAAUACGUAUGUACACUCAUCUAUGAACAUAAUGUUAAUGAAUUACAAUUAUAUGUACGGAUUUUACAAUGUUCAGGUGAGAACAUGGCUAUACAAUGGCGAUGGCUUGAUGCUACAUGACGAUUAGUCCUUCCAUAUAUCUAAACAUUUGAUGUUAAGGCCUUGUUUAGUUCCAAAAUUUUUGGCAAAAUGAGCACUGUAGCAAUUUCGUUUGUAUUUGAUAAAUAUUGUCCAAUCAUGGACUAACUAGGCUCAAAAGAUUCGUCUCGUCAAUUUCGACCAAACUGUGCAAUUAGUUUUUAUUUUUAUCUAUAUUUAAUACUUCAUGCAUACAUCUAAAGAUUCGAUGUGACGGGAAAUCUGAAAAAUUUUGCAAAAUGUUUGGAGAACUAAACAAGGCCUAAGCACGAAACUAUUAUUAUUAUUAUUAUUAUUAUUAUUAUUAUUAUUAUUAUUAUUAUUAUUAUUAUUAAAUACAGUCGGGCUAUCCCCUCCGAAGGAAGCACGUCGCUGAUCUUCAGAAUUGCUGACUUUCAGCGUCCAUGUGACCGACCAUGAAAACGAUCAGAUAAUUUGUUUCAGGCCCGCCGUUCAAUGCAGUCGUUCCACUGCCAGACUGCCUGCCUAAACAUAGGAAGCUGCUUUGCCGAGCCGUGCACGCGGCCGCCGUUUCGGAAAAUCGCAGUAUUUGCGUUGUACUAGCGCCGCGCCGUCGCCGCACGGCCGCACUCCCCGCCCCGCACGGGAGGGCGCAGUACACCUCUCUCUCUCUCUCUCUCUCUCUCUCUCUCUGCCCCGCCGUGUACGCACACGCGGGUCACCGGGUGUACUACACCGUCUCUCCCCCUCUCGUCGCGUCGUACUGCACGACGCAGUCCCUAGCCUAUAUAGGCAGCCGCAGCAGCACAUCCCGUCCCGUCCCCGAUCGACGCGCGCAGCACAGCGCCGCCCCGCACGCCAGUCACCUCUCACGCAACCACACUGUGAGCACACAACACGCGCGCCAAGGCGGGGGACGGGCAUGGACAUGGGAGGAGGAGGAGGAGGGCACGGCGGCAUGGGCGGCAUGCCGAUGCCCAUGGCGCCGCCGCCGUCCCCGCCGGGCGGCGGCGGCAUGCGGAUGCGGAUGCGGUACACCCACAUGACCUUCUUCUGGGGCAAGGACUCGGAGAUCCUCUUCGCGGGGUGGCCCGGCGCGCGCGGCGGCAUGUACGCGCUGGCGCUCGUCGCCGUCUUCGCGCUCGCGUUCCUCCUCGAGUUCCUGGGCUCCCGCGGCCUGGACGCCGCCGCGCUCCUGCUCCCCAGAGCCGGGGACGGGAGGGACGGGCGGGGCGUGCGCGUGGCGGCGGGGGUUGCGCGCGCCGCGGUGCACGCGCUGCGCGUGGGCGUCGCGUACCUGCUCAUGCUGGCGCUCAUGUCCUUCAACGGCGGCGUGCUCCUCGUCGCCGUCGCGGGCCACGCCGCGGGGUUCCUCGCCUUCAGGGCCGGCCUGUUCGGCGACCGCCGGGCACAGGUGGAGGACGCCGGCAAGGAGCAGCUCGCGUGCUGCUAGGCUUGUCGCCGGCGCCCCGGCGGUGCCGAUGAUGAUCAGAUGGGUGGGUUUGUGUAAACGUUGCAUCGUUCGGACGUGUUGAAUGGAGUAAUUCAGUUCGUGUGUGCGGGCGUUCGAUUGACUGAAUGCAUAGUGCUGUUUGGUUGGAUUGAAUCAAGAUUCGUGGUGAUCGGCAUACAGUUGUAAACACUUGAAUCUGGAAGGUUAUAAUUUCGGUCAUAAGCUGUGAAAUUUCUUGCCUGUAUAUCUUUCUACCUUAUUAACACGCCAUACUCGAUAUAUCUUCUUACCUUAUUAACACGCCAUAUACUCGAUCGAUUUAUAGUGUGGUUGGCUGUAUACUCGUCAGACUCUUCAGUCAGUCCAUACCAUACCCGGUUUGUCUGCUUGUGCUCUGCACUGUGUACUGUUUACGAAGAAACUGGAGAUUAUGCAAAGUCUGGUCUCACUUCCGUUUGAGUUUUGACUAACCGGCCAUAGGCUGCCUGAAAAUGGCAACCGAGACGGUGUUGGCAGUUUCGGCUCCUUGUUUAUGUGCACCCAAUCGUCACCUUACUGGUUGGCCAUUCGAUUCAGAUGUUUUACGUGCUGAUGUUAUGUUGUGGAUCAAGCCAGGUAGCAACAACAAAAGCAUGCAUGAUGUUUCCAAACAGUGUGAUGACGCACACAAUGGAGGCUGCAAUAGCGAUGCACGCUACAGUGCUACACUACACAGCCAUCAUGGCUCAGCACCCCAAACAACCGUGUCCCUAAUUUCUACUAUAUUCAUGCCUUGUUUAGUUCACCUAAAAAACUAAAAACUUUUUAAAAUUUCAUGUUACAUCGAAUUUUAUGGCACAUGAAGCAUUAAAUAUAGAUAAAAACAAAAACUAAUUGUACAAUUUGUUUGUAAAUCGCGAGACGAAUCUUUUAAGCCUAAUUAUUCUAUGAUUAGACAAUAUUUAUCAAAUAAAAACAAAAGUACUAUAGUAUCAAAAUCUAAAAACUUAAGUCGAGGAAACCACUAUGACUCGAGGAAAAUAUAUGCCGGUCUACACUAUGACUCGAGGAACAAACAUUUGCUGAAACCACUAUGACUCGAGGAAAAUAUAUGCCGGUCUACACUAUCUCAAAGACUUCAUUCAUAGGUUGGAUCUGUAAAAUAUCCUUAUGUCCUUAGUUUCUCUUUCAACAAACUAUAAGCCUUCAGAAAACUUAAGUAUAUUGCAGUGAUGCUUUUGGAAUCACUUGCAAAACUGAAUGCGACUGUUGUGUCGGGACAAAAAAAAAAGAAUGUACCUGGUAAAAACCACAAUCAAAUCACGAUAAAAAGUCGUCUAAAUUCAUCAAAAAAAUCACAUAUAUAUAGAUGAUAUGAUGAUAUACAAUCUUGUAGAAUAUCUUGUCCAAACUUAAAUUCGUUUGUGAGAUAUAAAAAUAACAAUUUCUAACAAAUCGUGUGGACAGGUUUCUACCUUGAAAUUUGUUAUUUUUAUAUCUCACAAACGAAGUCGAGUUUAGACAAAAUAUUUUACAAGGUUAUGUAUCAUCAUAUCAUCUACAUGUAUGAUUUUUCAUGAAUUUAGACGACUUUUUUGUCAUGAUUUGCACAAGUUUUUAUAAAGAUUGUGGUUUCCACUGGAUACGUUCAAAAAAAUGCUUGUCACAAACUGAAAACUGGAGCACAUGGAGACGAAGAGGCACAUCAGGGUUCAUAGAUGAGCAGGUAUCUCACGUGGCUGAUGGCAACACUUAACCAACGACCCUUCACAGCAAAUGGAUGACUCACGAAACAAAAUUACUACGAUUCUUUCUUUUCUACCCGGGUUCCUUCUGCUCCGCAGCCUCUUCGAAUGCCUCUCCCGGGACAAGCAGAGGUCCCAACUGUUAGUUUAUUUUUUGAACCACUGUUAGAUUCAGAUUUUUUUUAACCAGGAAAACAGCUGAGCUCUCCACUGUUAGAUUUUAUUAAAACACAAAAACAACCACUGUACAAAACAAAAGGAAACACUCCUGCUAAGCCCAGAAAAAAAAACAAAAAACUAUACAAAGGAAUCAACCCAGGAGAGAAAAACAGGCCGCUUGUUUUCAGAAAUCCUAUAUGCUUGUAGUCGACCUUCAUCUUUGAGACAUCUUCUCCAUGAAGAGGAGGAUGGAGAUCCUCUGUUAAAAAUGAAGUUAUUGUGCUGCAUCCAAAUUUGCCAUGCAGAGAUAAUGAACACUUCCAUGACGAAAGGAUAUGGAAAAACUUUUUUUGGCUUGUAUUAUCAUUUGGAAGAAAUCUGACGUAAGAUCCACUGAAUGCCACGGAACUGCCAACAGAGCUGGCUGGAAGAACAAGUGAAGAAGAGGUGAAAUGCCAUUUCUUCAACAUUCAUCUUGCAUAGGACACAAUUGUAGUUGUUGCCUUCCAGCUUGAGCUUUUUUCUCCUAAUAAUGUUCCUCGUGUUGAGCCUGUCCAUCAUUAAGAGUGAGGAGAAAACUCUUUAGUUUGUUGCAACAUUUGGACUUCUAAGGGACUAUAGCACUUUCGUUUUUAUUUGACAAAUAUUAUCCAAUCAUGGACUAACUAGAUUCAAAAGACUCAUCUCGUGAUUUACAGGUAAUCUGUACAACUAGUUUUUGUUUUCGUUUAUAUUUAGUGCUCCAUGCAUAUGCCGCAAGAUUCGAUGUGAUCGGGAAUCUUGAAAAGUUUUGGUUUUUGGGGUGAACUAAACAAGGCCUAAAUCCACAGAAAGCAGAUAGAUUUCUCUUGCAUAUAGAAACACAAAGAUCAAGCAGAUGUCUUUUGCUAUUUCAAAAUUCAAAUAGUGAAAAACUGUGAAAUAUAAAAUAAAAGGAUUUGGUUCGAGAAAAGAAAAAAGCAAAAGGAUUGCAUUUUUUUUCAAGUAGCCAAUGGAGGGAAUCCAGAAAUGCAUCUACACAGCUCUACAUUGAACCAUUUCCGCCCCACUUAAACAUGUCUUACUGUCUGAAUCCAACAUAUGGCAAUUUAUUUUCCCUUCUUUUUUGAAAGAUACAUGGUAAAAUUUUCCAUAGUGAAUAUAUACAUAUGACAGAUGAUGCUUUUAUGUAUGAAUUCUUCAAUCACUCUGUGUAGCUUUCCUGUGAAGCUUACAUCAUAUUUAUGUCAUUAUUCCUAGUAGACAGGACUAAGGUAUUUCUUAAAAUAAAGGAAAAGGAGUCAAGCAAACUUUAUUAGUCUCAGUUAUUCUAGAAGUGUCAUCAUCUUCUUUUAAUUCAGGUGGAUCAUCAUUGCAAAUCUGCAAUGUUAUAUAGCUUACUUGUAAGGCAAAAACACUGACUUCAGAACAUACAAGGUGUCACAGUGAUAUAGAAGAUAAAAAAACCAACCAGUGAUGCCAGAGACUUUAGAUCCUCAAUAUCGAAGUUCCAUGCACUAACCCUUGUUGGUACUCACCCUGUCACAUAAACCAUCAAACUUUCAGAAAAAUAGUCACGUAUAUGGAUUGAAGGGCGAAGUAAAUAUUGCGUCUAUGCCUAUGAAAAUACAUAAUGGUGUGCUAACGAAACAAUACAGUAAGCAAAAUACAUCUUGUGAGUAAUCAUGGUAUUAUCUAAGCAACUAAACAUGAUGUUAGUUGAUUGUUUAUAUAUGAAAUGAAUAGUUGAUAGUCAUGUGAGCACCGUAUCCACAUACUGGAGUCACACAGAUCUUGGGGUGUUCAAGGGCUUAGCUUUUAGAAUCCAUCUUGGUUUGUGCUUUCAAAUUUCUGCAGCUCUGGAAAGGUACACGUUGUAGGGAAUAGAAGCUUCUCUCUAGAACAAAAGAGUUUGCAACUUCACAAGCUAAAUAGAUAUUUAAUACGAACCAUUGCUUCUGCUAAAACAUGUUUUAGCAGUCAUCUACUUUAGCACAAAGAGUUGCAUCAUAUGGCUUAUGAGCGAUCAUUUUAUAACAUCAAGUUUAUCCCUAAAAAACUAACAUCGUAUCAUAUGGGUUGUGAAAUGAGUCUGAUUUUGUAGCAUGGUUCCUAAUUACUCUCCCCUAGUCCUUGUUCAACCAAUAAACAUGAGGAAAUACUAGCAUACUCGGCCAUUGAUAUAAUACUAUCACAAUUUAAAUUUCUGUCUUUUAUAAAGCAACCAUUUUGCUCAUAUAUAUCCCUACCAUCUUUUAUGAAAUUUGUUUUGAAGCCACAUCUUUAACGUUAACAUGGUCCACAAAUAUGAAGGAUACAUCUAGCCUGCUUCAGGGGGGAAACAAGUUGAGUAGAGAAAAAUAGGCAAAGUACACUUUCACGAACCAUGAAAAGUGCUUCUUGUUUUGCAGCAGGCAUUCUCUUCAAAGCUAGCUGUGCUUCAUCCUUUAGCUGGAAAUACAAAGUCAUUAACUAAGAAAAACUAUCACAAGCAUUAUGUGAAACAGAAAUAAGAAAAAAAGUACAUAGAAAAAAAUGAAGUGUCUUUACACGAUCACAAAGAGGGGGCAAAUCAGUUAAAAUGCUUAACAGUUAGCUCCAGAGGUUGUGCAUUCUUGAAAAAAGAAUGCUUAAGUAAUUUUUGCUGCUGGCCUCUUUGUUUGAUCUUUAACCAAGCACAUUGCAACCAUUUCCUUGAAGGACUGAUUACAACUGAAAAAACUUUAAUUAGAAGAGCAACCACAAUAAUCUAACCUAAUGCCCAGUCUCUGUACAAAUAAUGACUGAAACGGCAUUCUAGAACAGAAAGAUUGUGAUAGAAAACUAUAAUCAGAAAGCAUUCACACUUGGAGGAGCAUUUUGGAGCGUCAUGAGAAGAACCUGUGCCACCAAGGAAAUCACCAGUUAACACUGAAUUCACACACGUGAUUAGGUGAACUCUACGGAAAUAGUUAUUGAGCCAGAAAGUUUUUAAAUUUGGAUAGCUAACUUCAUGGAUAAGACUAUCUGACGCCUAUAAUAGUUCUGCAAGCUGGUGGCAAUCAGCAAGUCUAAAUAAGUAUUCACAAAAUAAUGUAGAAUUUCUAGGAUUUCUCUCUUUCGCUAUCAUGUAAUGUGAGGAUUAAUGUGGAGGCUACAAAAAGAGUCUCUAAUUAGUAAUACUAGGAUUAGAUGGCAAAAUGAUUAAGCUACUUCAUGAAAUUUCAAAAUAAAAGAAAACUGAUGCAAUCAAUCAUCAAGCAUUCACGCUCCAUGGGAACUAUUAUUAGAUUGCUAUUCCAUAAGAGCAGGAAGGAAAAAAGAUUUAAAAUCUUAAUUUGCAAAGAGCAAAUGACCCAUUACCUUCAUAGCAGGGUACAUUGAAAAGGGAGCAUGUCCAUGUGCCAGCUUGAGUGCGGUUAUUACAAAUGACCAUAAAUCAGCUCUGUACAAAGAGUCGAUAGUUGUUAGAAGAUGUCAAUUACAAUAGCAACUAAGAAAAGUAAAAGUACACACAAAAAGCUACAGCGCGUUAAACAAACAUGAUCAUUAUUACACAAGUAAAACAUAAGCAAUAUUAUAAGUGAAAAAUGAUAUUAGGGAAGUUUUCCCAGAAACCUCAAACUGGAACCGACCAGAACCUGGUCACCACCUAGUUUCUGGGAAGAGUUCCAACUUGAUGAUGUGCUUAUUUAAAUACAACAAGUAAAUCUAACUUCCAACAUAGUAUUUGCUCUAUCUCAGGUUUAUUAAGCAAUGCAAAUUGUGAAGAAGAACUAAGCAUGCACGUGUAAAAAUAUAAGAUUGGUAUUGAUAUUCACCACAUACUUGAAAUCAUAUCCAGUUCCAGGCUGGAGAACUUCUGGAGCCAUCCUAAACACCAAGUAAAACAAGAAAAACAUGUCAAAUUAUGCAUAAACUAAUUAAUUUCUAUUGAACCACUAGCAAAAGAAAUGUAUAUAAAAGAAACAUAGUUACCAGCACGGUGUUCCAACAAAUGUACUCCUAGCCCUUUGCCUAUCACCCCUAUCAAAAAUGCAAGCAGAGACACCGAAGUCCCCAAGCUUGACUACACUGGGAUUACAAUAAGGAUAUUACCUGCAUGCAACAACGAUAUGUUGAGAAAAGCACUGCCAAAACUAAUCUCAAACAAAUCCUACAGAACUGACCUUCACAUCACGAUGAAUAUGCACUUGGCUAUGGGGGUAGUCUAGAGCUUUGAGUGUUUCAUUUAGAAUAGACGCAAUAACUGGAUCUUCAAAACCAUCAGAUAUGCAACCAUCAUUAGGUGCAAACGUGAACCUUCUGGCAUGAAUGGCAUUACCACCAAAAGAUUAUGACCCGCAACCGCAACAAAUGAGCAGUAAGAACUGAUGAACAUUAUGAUGAUCUAUCAAGCUCAAAGUUAGUCUCCUUUCUUACAUCAUCCUGCAUACAAUAUAUAUACUACCGUGAGAUGACAGUGUUCGUUUUACAAAGGAGCAUACAAUAUAGAUAUACUAUCGCCAGAAUCAGUAUAAUUUCUUGCAUGCCAUGAGAAUAAUUAGGCAUAUUUUUGUACAGAAGUAAAUAAACAGACUAAAUAAGUCAGCUUGCAUUAGCAACUCAGUACUGCGAGCAAACAUAUUCUAGCAGUAAACCAACAAUAGGAAGAUUAACUUAUCAACUUCUACCAACAAAAAAUUCAGUGUGCAGAACAUGGCAUUACCAUGUCUAAAUGCAAGGGAACUAAAGGGUGCGCACUUAAGGUUCUUAUUCUCAGUCCAUAGUGCUAACCAAAAGCUGAUGCAACAGUAGAGCAUAUGAGCAGAAAAGGCAGCGUAGAAUAUAUGGCUAACAAGAAAGGCAAACAAGGCAGAGUAGAAUACAUGUUUGCGAGAUGCAUAAGCCACCAAAGACAAGGCAGAAGCCCGUAUACUCUCCUGAGUUCUUCCUAUUCAUGUUUGACAAUAACUGUCACAAAAAGAAGUCAUGUCCGAUGGUACCUUGGUUACACAUCAUUCAGCAUUAGACACAGCCUCUUUCUGGCACCAGGGUGUAGUUAUUCCAUCAACAAAAGCAUUGUACGAACAGCCAUCUUGUUUCAAAACUUGUGAGGACAUUUCAGCAGGACUUUCUACCAUCUUAUCCAAUGAAUCCACCUCACAAAACCCUGAAAUUAGUGUAUUGUAGGAAACACUAUCAGGAACAAUGCCUAAGCUCACCAUCUCGUCAAAAAGCUUGGAAGCUUCUUCUUUGUUGCCAGAUUUGGAAUAGGCAAACAUCAGAGUGGUGUAGGUCAUCUUAUUUGGAGGUAUACCCCUGGAAUGCAUUUCCUUGAAGUACAUCACAGCUUCAUCAAUUUUUCCUAUUUUGCAAAAACCUUGAAUUAUAAUUGUGUAGCCAAUUACUCCAAGCUCAAUGUCCUUUACUAUACAUUGUGCAAAAACUGCCUUCACCUCUUCAACAAGACCAGCAUGACACAUCCAAUACAUAAGGCUAUUGUAAGUUACAGGUGUUGGUUGUAUGCCAUUAUACUUCAUAGUGUCAAGAAUACCAAUUGCAUCAGAAAUGUUACCAUUCCUACCAUAACCACCAAUAAGAGCAUUAUAGAUGACUGCAUUCGGUCUUAACCCAUUUUUCAUCAAUUCUGUCAAAUAUUCAUUCGCCUUGUGCAUAUCCUUUGCUUUGCAGUAACCGUCUAUUAUAGUGCCAUAUGUCACAAUAUCUGGUUUAAGGCCCUCACUUUUCAUCUGAUCCAGCAGGUGAAGGAUCUCUUCCACCUUACCCAAAUUACAGUAAGUGUGUAAGAAAAUAUUAAAAGUGAAAAGGUCAGGCUUAAACCCUCUUUUGAUCAUAUCAUCACGAAGUUGUAUUGCUUCAUCCAUUUUACUGGCUUUGCAGCAGCCUUGAAUCAUUAUAUUAUACGUGAUUCUAUCCAAUUCAACCCCGCUAUUCACCAUAGCCUUUAGAACCUUAGUAGCCUCUUUCAUGUUGUUACCUUGACAAAGCCCAUGAAUCAACGCAUUGGAUGUUGCAACAUUGACACCUAAACCUUUACCCAAUACUUGGAACCAAAUUUCAGCUGCUUCUUCGUGUUUCCCACUUUUGCAAAGCUCCUGGAUACAAGCUGUCAUCAGAGCAUCAUUUGGUUUCAGAAAUCUGGCAAGCAUUUCUCUUAUAAGCCUUAGCACCAAAUCCAGUCUUCCAGUUCCUCGAAGAUGCCAUGCAACCACACUAUUAAACAGGCUGCAAUGAACCAUCAUCCCAGCCAACAACAUCUCAUCCAAUAUCUUCUCAGCAUGUUCCAUUUCUCCUUCUUUGCACAGAGCCUUCGCAAUCAAGUUGUAAGUCACCACUGUCUGCUUUAUCCCCUUUGAGACCAUUUCAUCAAACAGCUUAAGCGCCUCUGAGCAAUGCCCUUUCCUACAAUGCCAACCAAUCAUCUCAUUGUAAAUAACCUCAUUAGGGGUGAUCCCAAAACCCUGCAUCUCCUGUAACACUGCACCAACCUCCCCAAACUGCUGGCCCCUUGCAAGACCACUGAUCAGGAUGCCAAACGUGACAAUGCUUGGUCUCACCCUGCCUUCAACCAUUCUCCCCUUCAACCGAAAGGCCUCCUCCACCCUCCCACUCUUGCACAGUGCAUCCAUUAGCACGUUGUAAGUGACAACCGUUGGUUGGAUCCCAGACCGCCGCAACUCCGCAAGCAUUGCAAAAGCAGCAUCAAUCUCUCCAGCCCUGCAGAGUGCCUUAAUCAUCGCCGUGUAUGUGUGCACAUCAGGAGCAACAGUCUUGCCAUCCCGCAUUUCUCCAAACACCUUGCGGGCCACGUCCAGUUGGCCACCACAACCUAGGGCUUCGACAAGGAUACUGCAUGUCUUGAUGGACGGCGAUGCACCACGUGCGGAAAGCUCGAGAAAGGCAUCGGCGGCACGGGACAGGGAUCCGGGGGCAGGCGAGUUGAGGCAGGCGCGGACGAGAAGGUCCGCUGUGGCAGUGCAGUGGGAGUCCGCGAUAGCCGCUGCGGCGACGGACAGAGGGUUGAAGCGGAGGAGGCGUGAGACGAGGCGGCGCGCGGACGGUAGCGAGGCGCGAUCGGCGACGAGCGAUUGGAGGAGGAGCGUAGAGACGCGGGGAGACAGGAGAUCCUCGGCGUGGCGGGAGGCGGAAGCGUGGGCGUCGGAGAGAAUAUGCUGGAGGAGGCGCUGGGCGGAGGAGGCCGGAAGGGGGGCCGGAAGGGACGAGAGGGCGGAUGCGAGGCCGCGGCCGCCAAGGCGGCGGAGCAGGAUGGCAAGGUCGCGCUUCGCAUCGGGGGAGGGCGCCACGGAGAGCGCGCUGGCAAGCUCCGCGGCAUCAGCGGCGGCGUCAGCGGCGGAUGAGAGGCGGCGGCGGAGGAGGGGAAGGAGCCGCGGUGGUUUCAUGGUGUAUGCGGGCGGUGGCCGCCGACGGCCUUGAGGACAAGACGAAGGUUGCGGCGGGAGAACGGACGGCGCGGAUUGGAUCGUGGACCGGUAGGCUAGGAGGGGGCCAGCAGGGCCCCGGGGAGGGGCGGAGGACUUCGUGAGGGCUUGGUGGCGAAUGUGUAGUUUUCUAGGUUUUUUUCAGGAAAAAGGAAAUGAUUCGAAUUAGCUACCGGUUUUUUUUUCUUGCAACUUCAAUUAGCAAGAGCCUGUUCAUUUGGCAUGAACCAAUCCUGGAUCCAUUCCUACCAGUAAUAUUUCACUAAGGCUCUGUUUAAUUUCUACCUAAAAACUUUUCGCUUCAUCAUAUCAAAUAUUUAAACAUUAAAUAUAAAUUAAAAACUAAUUAAUUCCAUAGUUUGCAUUAUUUGCGAGAUGAAUUUUUUAAGUUUAAUUAGUUCAUAAUUUGAUAUUAAUUGUUAUAGUUAUAAAUGUGCUAUCUAAUAUCUUUUAAAGCUAGUUCGUUUAGGGUGGUUCUAUGGAGGAAUAAAUUCUGAUCGAGAGCGGUGUAUAUAAAAUUAGAUAAGUCCCUAGAACAUUUGAUCAGCGGAAACGGUUUCUAAUUGGAUUUCACCAAACUGAACGAGCCCUUCCCGAUAUAUUGCAACAUAAAUCAUCAAUACAUAUAGCAAUCAAGUUCUCGGUACUUCUAGACGUUGGAAGCAUCCAAACAAGCUCCCAAUCUUUCUUUUUCUUUUUCUUUUGCAUCUCCCCACUCCCGUUGACCUUCCGUGCCAAAAAAAGAGCAUCAUGUUACCUUUAGAAUCAACAAAGGGUUUGUUUUGUUCUAGGGCUCGGGUUAGGGUUAAAAAUCAGUCUUGUUUUGUUCGUAUACCAACAAGCUAACCAAUCAACAAAGGGUUUGUUUUGUUCGUAGGGCGUGAAUGUACAUGUUUGUUGUGGACGUCAUUUACAUAACUAUGAGAACCUACAAACACACAUACGCAAAUGAGCGAAAAUGAGCGUGCGUGAAGUAAAAUCGAUGUCUUAUUCGUACAACUGGGCCAGAAAAAAUGACUUAUCCGUACAACUCGACUCAGAAAACGAGCGAAAGAUAAAGUAAGGCCUCCGUGAAGUAAAAUCGGAACCGUGCAUCAAUCCUCGAAAUGGACCACCGAACUGGGCCACAAAGUCCACGCGUUAUUUGGGCCUAGCCCAGCCUAGGCUAAUCUGCAUCUGCUCUCGCUGCAUGUCGUUCCUUGUCGUCGACUUGUCGUGCACAACAGCACAAGAACAAGAAAAGAUAUGGAAGUGGAAUAUCGCAGCUGGUCCCGUUUGUGAUGCCGUCUCAGCAGCAUUUUUUUAAGCUAGCAAACACAUUGACUAAAAAAAACUAAAAUAGUUUAGUUCCAUUAGUCACUCAAGAGUAGCUAAAAUAAUUUUAGUUAGCUAAAAUUUAGUUGGUGGAACCAAACAGGGCCUAAGCGCGUAGUUGGCCUUCUCGUCCUGCACUCCACGAUCCUUGACCACUUGCACCCUGUGCGGAGUCGAGCACGAAUGCACGAUGGAGACGAUCACGAGUGGCGUGAUGGCAGCGAACUCCGACACGAUCACCGCGCUCGUUCGCCCAGAGGCCGUACGUGGCUGAACGCCAGCAGCACGACGAAGGAGACGCCGACGAGCACCGACUGCUUCAGGGUCACCGAUACGGCGUUCUUUGCAUUGGCCCUGUCCACGUUCCCGGCCCCGACCUCAUUUCACACCCGGCUGCUGCGCGCAAUGGGACACAUCGACACGGCCGGUCACCACUCACCAUAUAUAAGCCCAAGGCAACACGAUUUGAUGAAGCUGACAAGUGACAAGCAAGCACACGAGACGUACGUGAUCAUGAAGCCGCGAUGGCCUCCGUGCAACUGCUGCACACAAUUAUCCGCCGAUCAGUUUGUAACGUGGCGAGACAGCCCUGUUCGGUUGAUCGUUUCUAUAGCCGAUGAUACUGUUAAUUUGUUCUAAGGCCUUUAGUUCACCCCGAAAUCCAAAAAGUUUUUAAAAUUCCUCGUCACAUCGAAUCUUGCGGCACAUACAUGAAACAUUAAAUAUAGAUGAAAACAAAAACUAAUUACACAGUUUGUCUGUAAAUCGCGAGACGAAUCUUUUGAUUCUAGUUAGUUUAAAAAAUCUGAAAUUUUUCCGAAACUAAACAAGGCCUAAGAGAAAAAUACUAUUCCAGCUUAAUUAAUUUAUCUUCGCUGUCGCCGAACGCCUCCUCCAAGGCUCCGACCGCAGCACGUAGGCGAGCUGCAUCAGGCAGGAGGCCCAGAACGCGGCCGAGAUGGCGGCGGACGCGCCGGCGAGCCCCAUGCCGAGCACGUUCGCCAGCGGGUGUGCCAGCGCGACGUGGAGCGCGAACGGCACCGCAGAGCAGCACGACGAGCGGCACGACGACGGACUGCGUCUGCAGGUACCGCCGCUGCAGGCACUGCAGGAAGGCGAACGCGAAGAGGCCGGGGACGCGACGAACGCCGCCGCGCUAGCUGCGGCCUGCGGGACACCUCGGGGUCCUGCCGCAGGAGCAGUGGCUCCGUGAAAAUCCACAGCACGGAGACGAGCGCGCACACCACCGCCGACAGGAUCAUCGCCGACUGCAGGUACAGGCCCAGCAUGCGGUACAUCCGGGGCGCCGUAGGCCUGCCCGCACAGCGUCUCCAGGCCGCCGCUGAGGCCCGUCUGAAACAGCCAUUCAUACUGUAGCAAAUUUUCGACUGUCAUAAUAGCCAAUAUCAAUUAAGUAUUUAUAAAUAAAAUUAGGAUAAAAAAACAAUUACGUCGGCUGUGUACCAUCGAUGGAUGGCACAGGCUUGGAACUGUGUUCCCUUAUUAAAAGAAUCACGUCUACUGUCAAGACAAGGUAACUGAUUUAUUUAUUUAUUUUAUUUUUUUUUUGCAGCGAAGAACUUGGGGCAGCUUGGCCUGUCACCGUUACGGCGUUACCAGUUAGGUGUUACCCUCACUGCGCCUGUCAUCUACUGUCAAGGCCAAAAACUUCAGUACGGUUAACGAAACCAAAUCGUUAAUUGCAGCUGAAAAUUGAGCAGGAGGGACCGGGAGGGAAUGGGGAUAUUUGUGCAGCCUGUGACGGUGGCCCAGGAGUUGCCAAGCGUGCAGCCGCCCAACAUCACGGACACCAGCGGGAUUCAAAAGAGAGGGAGAGCGUAGUGUUAAAGACUAUUGAAUUUUUGAAGUCCAUGCAAGUCUUGCAGCUAGCGAAGUCUUCCCUCGUUCACGUGAAAUAAAAUUAGGGGAUAUUUAGUUCGGUAAAGUUUUCAAGAUUUUCCGUCACAUCAAAUCUUGCAGCAUAUUCAUAAAGCAUUAAAUAUAGAUUAAAAAAUAAUUAAUUACAUAGUUCGUCUGUAAUUUAUAAGACGAAUCUUUUAAAUCCAUUAGUCUAUAAUUAGACAAUAAUUAUAGGGUGGCUGAUUUUGUGUGCGUGAGAAAGAAACAAAAAGAUAGGAAGGGGAAUGAGACGAGGAGACUGACGCGUGCCUAUAGGGUGGCAGUGAGACAAAGUAGAGAAAGAGCUCUCGCUCAUAAGUUGCAAUUUGGCUAGAUAUUGAACCAGGCCAACGGAUCCAUCAUGGAGCUCUGCAAACAGUGGGAUUCUAGAUCCAACUUAAAGGUCUACUAAACAGGUCCUUGCAAAUAUAGUGUUUCAAAUCUAGUUUUCCAAAUUUAAAACUCUACCAGAUAGGUCCUUACAGACACUGCUAGAGAACACACCUUUCGUCGAUGUGCCAAAUGAGCUUUAGUCCCGGUAAUUUUGGCGCCCGGGACAAAAGAAAUCUUUAGUCGCCAACGGCUCUGGUGUCAGGCGCUGUCGGAGAGGGACCUUUAGUCCCGGUUGGUGUUACCAACCGGGAGUAAAUACUUACCUUUAGCCCCGGUUUGUGACACUAACCGGGACUAAAGAUUUUGUCCCGGUCGUUGGCACUAACCGGGGCUAAAGGUAGGUAUUUACUCCCAGUUGGUAACACCAACUGGGACUAAACCCUCCCGCUAUAAAUUGAAUCUCCCUCCUCCCAUCUUCCUCUCCCUGCCCGAGCUCGAGGUGCUUUGUUCUUGCUUGUUCUUUCAUUGUUCUUGCUUGUUAGUGCUCUCAUCUCCCACGAUUGAUCCAUUUCAACGCUUCUACGUCGUCGUCGAUUUGUUUGAAAGGUUGCUGGCUUCAUCCUCCUAUGUUUCUCACCGCCAUAUGUAAUUUCAUAUUGGACAUAUGUCUAUUUUGAUUAAUUCAUGUUGCCAUCUGAGCAAUCAUCGUCUUCUCAUGUUUGAAUUUUUUUGAACGAUGCUAAGUGUGUGCCCGCUAAAAACUAGUAUACACAAAUCAUUACUACUAUGUAUACACGAAUCAUGUAAAGUUCUAUUAUAGAUAUUAUAGGAUAUUUUCUACUUUAAUAUGUUCAUGUUCUUAUUUUAAAAUAUUAAUAAUAUAAUUUUUGUUUUAAUUGUUAAAUAAAUUGUUUUUCACUUUAAAAAUUAUUGAAAUUAAUUUUCUUUACUGAUAAAAUUAUAGCUUUUAAUAGAAAAAUUACAAUUCUAUGAUAAUGCAGAUAAUGGCACGCCAUUGAAUGUACAAUGCUGAUCGCCGCUCCAACGAGUUCAUUGAGGGCGUGCGAGAAUUCCGCAGAGUGGCGGAGCAAAAUAAGCGGGAUGGUUUUAUGUGUUGCCCAUGUGCCGUUUGUAAGAAUUUGAAGGAAUUUUCAAACUCAAGAGAAAUUCACUUGCACUUGUUCACGAAUGGUUUCAUGCCAAACUAUAUUUGUUGGACCAAACACGGAGAGUCUGGGGUUAUGAUGGAAGAAGGUGAAGAAGAGCAAGCGUACCCUGACGAUAUUUUUGCUCAAUACUGCGACUUCGCAGUAGAGGACGAAGGUGAUGAAGACGAGGAUGCAGGAAACAGUAUCGUUGAUGAUGACGAUGCUCUUGGUGAUGUCAUUCGCGACGUACAGAGAGAUUGCGAAAGUGCAAAGGAGAAGGCUAAAUUUGACCAAAUGCUAGAGGAUCACAAUAAGCUACUCUACCUGUCGGCCGAAGAGGGACAGAAAAAGCUAGGAACGAUACUGGAGUUGUUACAGUGGAAGGCAGAGAAUGGUAUUUCUGACAAGGCAUUUGGAAAAUUACUGAAGAUCCAAAAAAAGAUGCUUCCGAAGCCUAAUGAGUUACCCACCACUACAUACGAAGCAAAAAAGAUCGUCUGCCCUUUGGGAUUACAAAUCGAGAAGAUACAUGCAUGCCCUAAUGACUGCAUCCUGUACCGUGGCGAGCACGAGAAAUUAGAUGAAUGCCCUGUUUGCCAUGCGUCACGGUACAAGAUCUUGCGAGAUGACCCUGGCGAUGUUGAGGAUGAAGAACGUCCGAGAAAGAGAAUCCCUGCCAAGGUUAUGUGGUAUGCUCCAAUAAUUCCACGCCUAAAACGUUUGUUCAGAAAUAAGGAGCAUGCAAAGUUGUUGCGAUGGCACAAAGAAGACCGUAAGGUGGACAACAUGUUGAGACACCCUGCAGAUGGUUCUCAGUGGAGAGGAAUUGAUAGAGAAUUCCCGGAAUUUGCAGAGGACGCAAGAAACCUAAGGUUCGCAUUGAGUACGGAUGGAUUUAAUCCUUUUGGGGACCAGAGCUCUAGUCAUAGCACUUGGCCUGUUACUCUAUGUAUCUACAACCUUCCUCCGUGGUUAUGCAUGAAGCGUAAGUUCAUUAUGAUGCCGGUGCUCAUCCAAGGUCCGAAGCAACCUGGCAAUGACAUCGAUGUUUACCUAAGGCCAUUGGUUGAGGAACUCCAGCUUCUAUGGAGCAAACCAGGUGUGCGUAUGUGGGAUGAGUACAAACAGGAAGCAUUCGACCUACGAGCAUUGUUGUUCGUGACAAUCAAUGAUUGGCCAGCUCUAAGCAAUCUUUCAGGACAGACAAACAAGGGAUAUAAUGCUUGCACCCAUUGCUUUGGUGACCUUCAAGCUAUCUAUUUGAAAAAAUGCCGAAAGGUCGUGUACCUUGGCCAUCGUCGAUUUCUUGCUAAGAACCACCAGUUGAGAAAGAAAGGCAAACAUUUUAAAGGUACGGCAGAACACCGGUCCAAGCCAGGCAACCGAGACGGGGCAGAGGUAUUCGAGAUGGUCAAAGAUUUGAAAGUAGUGUUUGGAAAGGGAGAAGGCAGCGAACCUGUUCCGAAAGACGCUUCGGGGCGUGCCCCAAUGUGGAAGAAAAAUUCAAUAUUUUGGGAGCUACCAUAUUGGAAACACCUUGAGGUCCGCCACUCCAUCGACGUGAUGCACCUGACCAAGAAUUUUUGUGUCAAUCUCCUAGGGUUUAUGGGUGUGUUUGGAAAGCCUAAGGAUACCCUUGAGGCUCGAGAGGACUUAAAGCGCAUGAAAGAACGAGACAACCUGCAUCUAGAGCAGACAGAUGAUGGACACCAGUAUUUAAGACCUGCUAGCUACACUCUUAGCAAUGAGGAGAAGGAAAUCAUGUUUGAGUGCCUAAGCAGCAUCAAGGUCCCAUCUGGGUUCUCCUCCAACAUAAAGCGUAUAAUAAAUGUGCCAGAGAAAAAAUUUGUCAACUUAAAAUCGCACGACUGCCAUGUGAUUAUGACACAACUGCUUCCGGUUGCCUUAAGAGGAAUUCUACCUCCACAUGUACGUUUGGCCACCGUGAAGUUGUGUGCAUUCCUCAAUGCAAUUUCUCAGAAGGCAAUCAAUCCUCUUGAUCUAGCUACUCUACUGAACGAUGUGGUUAAAUGUCUUGUCAGCUUUGAGUUGGUGUUUCCUCCAUCUUUCUUUGAUAUCAUGACACAUCUCCUAGUUCAUCUGGUCAAAGAGAUUCAUAUUCUGGGUCCUGUCUUCCUACACAACAUGUUUCCCUUAGAGAGAUUUAUGGGUGUACUGAAAAAAUAUGUUCACCAGCGGGGUCGGCCAGAAGGAAGCAUCAUCAAGGGAUACGAGACAGAGGAGGUCAUUGAGUUCUGUGUGGACUUUAUUCCUGAUCUUGACCCGAUUGGUCUUCCUGAAUCAAGGUAUGAGGGGAGACUCGAUGGAAAGGGUACACUAGGAAAGAAAACAUAUAUCAGCCAGGGUGAUGAUUUAUUCAAUAAAGCGCACUACACAGUCCUUCAAAACUCCAUUGUGGUGGAACCAUAUAUUGAGGAACACAUGGAUUUUGUACGAUCCGAGAAUCCUGGAAAGAAUGAGACUUGGGUUACGCAUCAUCACAUGGAAACAUUCGGUGACUGGUUGCGAAAAAAAUGCCAGGGUGAUAAAGAUAUUGGAGAUGAACUUUAUUUGUUGGCUAGGCAACCAGCGUGGCACGUCCUCACAUACAAAGGGUACGAGAUAAAUGGAAAUACAUUUUACACCGUAUCACAAGAUAAAAAGAGUACCAACCAAAACAGUGGUGUCCGUGUGGAUGCCACGGACACGAAUGGGGACAGGCACACAUAUUAUGGUCGUAUAGAGGAGAUUUGGGAACUAGACUAUGCACAUAAUUUUAAAGUCCCUUUAUUCCGAUGCCAAUGGGUGAAGAUGAAAGGAGGGGUAUCAGUCGAUAAGGAGUACGGAAUGACAACAGUGGACCUCAACAAUAUUGGAUAUACAAACGAUCCAUUCGUCCUCGGUACUAAGGUGAAUCAGGUGUUCUAUGUGAAAGACAUGUCUACAAAACCUAAGAGAGGGAAACAAGACGAGAAAAACACCAACGAGCCAAAGCGACACAUCGUUCUUACAGGGAAAAGAAACAUCGUGGGAAUUGAAGACAAGUCAGACGUGUCAGAGGAUUAUGAAAAGGAUGAACGGAUCCCACCCUUCUGUGUGGCCAAAGACCCAAGCAUCAUGCUCGCUGCAGAGGACACUCCAUGGUUACGGAAUGAUCAUAACCAAGGGCAUUAUGUUAAGAAAAAGUUUACCACUGUGCUAGCUUGAUAAUGGUAGUGAUUUGUACUUGAAAUCUUGUGUAAUAUAAUUGUAACAUUAUGUGUAAUAUAAUUGUAACAUCUUGAUGUGGAUUUUGAACUAUUGGUAUUCAUGAGUUUGGUCAAACUUGGUCAAUAUUGGUAUUCAUUAAAUGUAUAUAUGAAAUGUAGAUCUUGAUAAGUGGAGCAAUAUUGGUAUUCAUGAGUUUUCCAUUUGAGGCCAUCCAUGGUUCUGAAAAUUAGCGUUUCGCUAUGAAUUCUUUCAAAUUUCAAAAUUGAGUGGUCUAAACUUUUUCAAAUGAAAAUGUGACCACUAGAGAAAAUGUAGGUCUUGAUGAGUGGAACAAACUUUGUAUUCAUGAGUUUUCUAUUUGAGGCCAUCGAGGGCUCGGUCAAAGUGUGUGUUUGUGAAACCCACUAUUUUGACUUUGGUCAAACUUGGUCAAAUGACCCACCUGAGUACUUCAAAUGGAAAACUUUUGAAUGCCAAGUUGUUAGGUCUCAUCAAGACCUACAUUUCAUAUAUGGAUCAUAUUUUCAUCCGGAUAAAUUUGAUCGAGUCCGAGGCUCGUGUUUUCAAAUUCGAAGACGGGCUUUGGUCAAACGACGGAGAAAAUGACUUGGAAUGGAAAUCUUUUGAAUACCAAGUUGUUAGAGCUCAUCAAUAUCCAAACUUUUUAUAUAGACCAUUUUUUCAUUUGGAAAAGUUUAUGUAAACAAUACUCACCAAAUCUUGAAUCUCACACAAACUUUAUGAAACUAUACGUGGGAAGUGUGGAUUUUGAACUACACUUUGCCAACACUUUGUCAAAUGCAAAAAUGGUCUAUAUAUGAAAUGUAGAUCUUGAUGAGUGGAGCAAUAUUGGUAUUCAUGAGUUUUCCAUUUGAGGCCAUCCAUGGUUCUGAAAAUUAGCGUUUCGCUAUGAAUUCUUUCAAAUUUCAAAAUUGAGUGGUCUAAACUUUUUCAAAUGAAAAUGUGACCAUUAGAGAAAAUGUAGGUCUUGAUGAGUGGAACAAACUUUGUAUUCAUGAGUUUUCCAUUUGAGGCCAUUCAGGAUUCCAAAAUACAUCUUACAACUUUUGAAAAUUUAAAUUUCAAAUUUAUACAAUCAAUGUCGCGCAUUUGUAUAAUUAUUACUAAAGAAACAAAAGUUUAACGUCCAAAUGACCCAAAAACAAAGUAUCUGUCUAAAGCCAACAAUUUUUUAAAAUUUAAUUGGUCAUUAUAUUUUUGCAUUAACAAAAUAUUCAUUAUGAAUAACAUUUAUUUUGGGUAAUAUGAAAUAUUUAAAAAGCAAUUGUGUUAAGAAUUUUUAUACUCAAGAGUAGAGUAGAAUAAAAUUAAUGUGUAUUUUUUAAAAAUUUUAUCAGAUUUAUUUAAUUUAUAAUACAUUUAACAAUUAAAGGUAGUCCCGGGCGGUGGCACGGCCCGGGACUAAAGGUGCCCUGCCCUAUAAAGGGCAGAGCCCUUCUUCCUCCUCCUCCACCAAGCCCUAACCGCCACCGCGUCUCCUCGUCUUCGAUCUUCUCGCAGAGCACCGCCGCGUCUCCUCGUGUUCGCCCCGCCGUACGUCGCGCUGCCAUCGUCCUCCGGCCCCGCGCUCCUCCCCCGCCACGGCGCGACGUCCCCGCGCGCGCGCCGCCUAGACGCCACGCGCGCGCCGCCUAGUAGCCGCGCCGCCGUUUAAUUUCCCGACCGCCGCGCCGGCGGCCCCGCACGCGGCCCGUGCCGUUUGCCCGACCGACGCGGCUGGCGCCAGCCUGCAAACCGCGCGUGGUGGCGCGGCCGGCCCCGUUGCCGGCGGCCACCGGCCUUGUUUUGUUCCAAAUUUUUUUGGAAAAUCGACACUAUAGCAUUUUCGUUGGUAUUUGACAAAUAUUGUCUAAUCAUGGACUAACUAGGCUCAAAAGAUUCAUGUCGUCAAUUCCGACCAAACUAUGUAAUUAGUUUUUAUUUUCGUUUAUAUUUAAUACUUCAUGCAUGCGUCUAAAGAUUCGAUGUGACGGAGAAUCUGGAAUAUUUUGCAAAAUUUUUUGGUAACUAAACCAGGCCCUGGAGAAAGAAAAAAAAUGAAAAAACAUAUGAAAAAACAUAGAAAGAAAAAAUUCAUAAUGUAUAUGUAUAUUAGGCCCUGUUUAGUUCCUCACCCAAAAAUAAGACACAGAAAGAACCCUAGUACUCGCCGUUGUAACCUUUGCAGCGCUGUUGUCGUCGCCAUCGUGGAGCACCGCCGUGGAACACACACACAUGUACACACACUUGAUCAUCCAGGGCCGAUGCGCGCAUACGCGCGCGCGCGCACACACACACACCGGAUCGAUGUCUCUCUGCCGUCUAUCUCUCUCUCACACACAUACAUAUGUAAAUGUGAUAUAAUAUUUGUUCCCUCUUUCUUCUUCCAGAUCGAAGUCUCUCUACCAUCGUCACCGAAGUCCCCGUCGAGUCUCCGCACCGACCGCCUUCUCUCCACCGUCUCACCGCCUUCAAACUACAGGUAUGUCGAGAUGGAUCUAUUAGUGGUACAAUUAGUGCUAUAAUUAGUGAUACAAUUAGUGGUAUAAAUUAGUGGUAUAAUUAUGAUAUAUUUAAUUAUUAGCAAAUGAUAUACACUAAACCCUAAACCUAAGCCCUAAACCCUAAACCCUAAACCCUAACCCCUGAACCCUAACCCCUAACCCCUAAACCCUAAGCCCUAAACACAUAUACUCUCUCUCUCUCACUUAUUUGUGACCGGUUCAGAUCAUGCCACUUUUGUUAGCAAAUGAUGUAAACCCUAAGCCAUAAACCCUAAACCUUGAAACCUAAGCCGUAAACCCCAAACCCUUAGCCGUAAACUGUUGCAGAAAAUCCUAAGUUGUAAACCCUAAUUUUAUAUAUUGUUUCCUUGUCAGGUAUACACAGUAGUGCUAGUAGUCAUGUGUCACCAAUUUCUUAUAAAUCUAGAAUAUUGCCUCUGCUCAAAUUCAUAUAUAAUUAAUUAUUUUCAUGUAUAUUAUAGUACCAAUUUCUUAUUUAUUUUCACGUAAUAUAUAUACGGUGUUCUUUAAUGUAAUUAGUGAUGUUCUAUGGUGUAUUUAGUUUUUUUCAAGUAAUAUAUAUUUGAUGUAUUUAGUGAUGUUCUAUAGUGUUCUGUGAUGUAUUUAGUGAUGUUCUAAGCCCUAAGCCCUAAACCCUAGUUUUAUAUAUUGUUUCCUUGUCAAGUAUACACAGUAGUGCUAGUAGUGAUGUGUCACAUAUUUCUGUAGAAAUGGCCAAUCCGAGAGAACACGAAGAGGAAAUGAUGAACCUGAUCUGCGGUCCCACUGAAGAAGUUUAUCACGAUGAUCGCGAAGGCGAUGAAAACCCUGAGGGAAUCGAUGACUGCUCUCAGUAUUUGGUCGACCCGAAUGAGCAAGACAAUGCUGGCCAGCAGGUCUGUAAUAUGGCAGUCUCCUUUGUUUUUACCGAUAUAAUUCGAAAUAAUAUCUUGUAUUAAAUUGUCUUUUUUCUUUCUACAUAGCCCUCUGGCUCGACGACAACCACGGGGACCAGCCGGAGAGUACGAGGCCCAAAGAAGCCUAUGGAGGGCCGGUUAGUAAUCUCAGAAUUCGAGGAAGCAACAGGCAAGCCACUUGGACCCCAUUCAAGGGCCUUCGUGAACCACUUAGGGUACCUUGUCCGGGAUAGGAUCCCAAUCAGUGUCCGUGAAUGGAAGGAGAACAAGAAACACCCAGAAAUCAGUUAUGUCUCUAUACGUGACAAGGAGCUACUCUGGGGUGAUGUCUUGCAACAUUUUACACUGGAGACAAACGAUGAACAGUUAAAGGAAAGAGUCCGAGACUGGUCUAUGAAGAAGAUGGCACCAAUGCUCCAGGGCUAUAAGAAGCGUCUAUAUCAAGACUACAUCAAGAAAAACAUGACUCCAGAUUUCAACUCUCCGAACUAUGCGAAGCUACGGCCGUUUUGGGACGACUUUGUACGGUUCAAGAUGUCCGAAGAGGCUCAGGAACGGGUCAGAAAGAACCAAGAGAAUGCCCGACGCAAGACCUACCACCACACGAUGGGAUCAGGUGGCUACCAAACCGCAGUUCCUAAGUGGGAAAAGGCCGAAAAAGAGUUAAUCGACAGGGGGUUGGUGCCCGAAUCCCUCGAGUGGCCUGAGCGCGCGAAGCACUGGUUUUUCGCUCACGGAGGCUCACAGGACCUUGAGACCGGAAAGGUCGUGUAUGGGGAACGCAUCCAAGCUGUUGCGGAAAGAUUCCAUCAAGCCCGCUCCAUCGCUGAAAGUGGAGAAUGGCAGCCGAAUAGAGAUAAAGAUGAAUUGACAUUCGCCCUGGGGAACCCUGAGCACGGUGGACGGACGAGAGGCUAUGGCACCGUGUCAUGGGAACAUGCCUUCCCUGGUGAUAGGGAAACUUAUAGAAGCCGCCAGAGAAAGAAGGAAGAGGACAGGGAACAGAUACGCAGAUUGGAGGAAGGACUCAUAAAGACCCAAGAAGUGGCUCAACGGGCCCUUGAGCGGGAGCAAGCGCUGAAGGCCACAAUGGAUGAGAAAAUCCAAAAGGUCGUGGAGGUAGCUGUAACUUCCCGCCUCCAAAGCUUAUCACAGCCACCGGCCGCCAACAUCAGCCCUUGCUCAGCUCAUCUAAAGAGCAGUUGUGCUUCUACGGAGGCGCAUGCGAGGCAAGUUGAUGACGUAGGGCUGUGAUUCCCGGUGGAUGACGUCACCGCUCCGUUGACGUCUUGUGAGCUCCAUAUUCCGGAGGGCGAUGGCACAGUAAAGGUGGCUACCGGUGUCGUAUCUCCUAUCGACCCCACCAAGACACCAACAAUCCACUCUGUCCCAAUACCAGCCGGAUAUGCUUGUGUCUCGGUGGAUAGAGUGGUCAGAGGCCGUGAAAAUGUGCCUCUCGAUAUCGAAGGCGGUAAUGGAGAGAAGACACUUGGUGAAGCGGAGAAGACAUUCAUAUGUUGGAGGAAACGGUACGUCAUUAUUCCUGGGGUGCCGCCGCCACAACCGAACCCUAGCAGGUGCGGAUUAUUGUGGACGCUACUGCUUUUUCUAUAAUUAUAUAUUGUAUCAAAUUACAUUUAGUCAUGUAUACAUAUACCUUAUUUGUUUUCUUCAAAUCCAGGGCCUCCCCCCACCGAAGUCCGUCUGUCCAUUCACCGCAUGACCAUAGUGCCGUGGGACACGACGACGACGACGUACAAGAGAAGGCCGCAUCCCCACCACCGGCCGUCGCAUCUCCUCCACGAAGGAAUCCAACGCUGCCCGCGGUCGAAUCUCCUCCACAACAACAAGCUCCACCUGCGCCACUGCCUCCGCCAAUGCCGACGACAACGGCCGCUGCCUCAUCGGCACCGGCUGGUGCUGCAUCGAGGAGGAAGAGGUCGUCCGCCGAGACACAGAGAUCACUCCAACCACCUGCGGCAAAGAGGAAAGCUUUGAACACGAAGAUCCCGAAGACGACCAAGCUUCCAUAUGAGAAGACCGAUGAGGAAGUGCUUGCUGCAAGCAAAGCGGAAGUCAAAGCAUUCUUUGAAAAAUGCAAAGCUAACAGAAAAGCAGAGCAAGAGCCGCCAUACCUAAUGUAUCCUCGUUCAAAGCUACGUCAAGUGGUGCAGAAAAUGACAAACGCGAACCGUGCUGCGAGUAAACAACCAGGGUCAACAAUAUCAGACUACGACCGUACUGUCCUAAAGAAAAUCAAGGCAGACAAAAGAAAAGUCCAGCAAAAAGUUGCACAGCUCGGCGAACAAGCGCAACAAUCAGUUCAGCCACUAGUGGUUACGAAUGAGUACGGUUCAAAUGCCAACAUGCUGGCAAUGACUAUACCUGCUAAUGUGGACUUAGAUGAGCUCGGGAAUUGGAUGGAAGAAACUGGGCUGCCCCUAGAAGCACUUCUAGGGCGUACCGAUGCGCCAAUCCACGGAGGUGUCGAUGAAUAUCAGAGUCGGUACAUUUACGACAGGAGUAUGUGCCACCCUGAGAAGGUACGAGGACUUGGUACGCAAAUAUACAAGUUGCAUGAGUACUACUUGAGAGUCAGCUCAAAACAUAUACAAGAAGAAUUGAUUGCCGUCCGAGUCCGCGAUCGACACUACUUCCGUGGAGAUGACGUCAUAUGGAUAGAUUUUAGUGAAGUACACCAACUUCUCCAUAUGAAUGCUCUUGACAAAUCUCUCAUGAGCUGCUACUGUCUGUAAGUGAUUCUUCCUUUCAAUCAUUAAUCCCAUUAUAGCAUAUGUAUGUAUUCGUAAUAACUACGCUCACGAUGUGCAGACACAUGAUGAGAGAACAAAGAUUGAAAAAAGACAAUCGAAUUGGUUUCAUCGAUCCAUAUGUCGUGUACAAGGACACUAAAACUAAAGAUCCAUUGAAUCUGAAGCCUAAGGAAAUGGAGAAGAACCUCCGGAGGUUCUUUUAUAACCAAAGGCAUACGGAGAAGAUACUCUUCCCUUACAAUAUGGGGUAAGUGUUGUGUUAUAUCAUGUCUUAGUUAAUCUGGCAUUAAGAUAUACAUAUAUAAGUUGACUCUAAACUAAUGCAGAGAUCAUUGGAUACUCAUUGAGAUUAAGAUCACGGAACAAAGAAUACAUGUGUGGGACUCAAUGAAAAAAGACCUGGCACUCUAUCAAGACAUAAUAGACAUGAUCCAGAGGUAAGUAUAUAUCAUACUUUAAAUAUCGAUGCGUGCUCCUUUACUUUAUUAUGCUAGCUAUACCUAAUCAACGAGCGUCUUAUUGGGCAGGGCUUGGGCUUGGCUACAACAAAAAUAUCGUACGGAUCUGAAUGUGUCACUUCCUCCUCCUGUUCUACUCCCUUGGGUGCCCACGCAGCCGUUUGGAACGAAUCUAUGUGGAUACUAUGUUUGUGAAUUUAUGCGGUGCACCCUAUUUAAACCUGCUCAAAGUGUUCUAAAAGUAAGUAACAUGCAUGUGUAUACAGUAAAUUCAUAUCUUAUUUAUUUGUUGAAACUAAAUAGAUUUUAUGUAUAUUAAUAUCUUUUCUAACUAAUGCAAAUGGAAGGAGUGGGAUAUGAAAGAUAAAGUGUUCGAGUACACAUUACUCCUUGGAGUCCAGGAGACGAUCGCCGGAUUUAUCAACGAUCAUGUCAUUCCGGAAGACGGCGAGUUCCACUUAUACCCGCAGGGCUUCAAGCCCAUUCCAAACAAGGACGAACACUUGUAUGAGCUUUGAGUGGGCGGGCAAACAUUAUGUAAUCAUUAACCGGUGGCAGCACACUUGAUUAUUACUUGUAUAUAAUAUUAUUAUUGUAAAUGUAAUGUGUAUGUACGUAUGUGUAUAGCUAUAUAAUAUAUAUAGAUAUAUAUAUAUAUAUAUAUUAUACGGAUAAUAUAUAUGUAGUUUCAUACUUUAUUUGUGUGCAAUAAUAAUGACGCUCUCGUAUAGGUGCAAUGUAUACGGAUAAUUACGGCGUAUACGAUUAAAUUAGAGAACAUAUACAAUUGAAAACCAAAAUCAAUAAAGAAAUGAAAAGAAAAAAGAAAAAAAACAAAAACAAAAAACACCUUUAGUUCCGGUUGGUAAUACCAACCGGGACUAAAAGGGGUGGCCAGGGGUGGCGCCACGUCACUGCCUGGUGCCCCCUGUAGUCCCGGUUGGUGUUACCAACCGGGAUAAAAGGUCCCCAUUUAGUUCCGGGUCUGGGAGCCGGGACUAAAGGUGGGACUUUUAGUCCCGAUCCCUUAGUCCCGGCUCGCCGCACGGGAAUACAAGUGGUUUUCGACCGGGACUAAAGGCCUGUCCUAUAAUUCAAGCUCUCUAUCACUGCACAAACAUGAGGAUGAAUCAUUGAAGGUUUGACAAUAUUGACGCACAUCAUGCACGUCUAGUUCGUUUGCCUGAUAAAUCUUGAUGGAAAGUAUUGUUUGCUUAUUUAUUGUGAAAGUACUGUUUGCUCAUUUAUUAUGAGAGAAAAAUAUUGUUGAAUGACUAGUAGAUUCAGCUGAUAAGCUCAAAUGAACAGACUCCAUAUUCUACUUUUGUGAACUCUGUGACAACACAAGUAAUAUAACGCUCCUACUAUUAAUAAGCCCGCUUGCCGUGGUGUUAGAAAUGUUCGGUUCUAGUGUCAUGUCGUUGUCAGAUUACAGCUAUCUCUAGCUUGUAGUAGACAACAAAGAUUCUGAUAGAGAAAGAAAUCGGAUAUAUGUCGAUCCAUAAACACCACAACCGCCAUGACACAACUAAAAAAAAAGGCCAUGUCACAAGAUUUAAUUCCGAGUUGGACGUCCGAGAAAUAUACACGGUUCGAUAUAUGGAGCGUUCAGAGCCUUGAUUAAUGCGCGGCAGCGAUGAACUUGUUGCAACCAGAGCAAUCUUUAUUUCCACCAUAUAUAUAGAUUCGUGCAUCCAUCAAAAUCCACGUAAAUCAACAAUGAACCACGCAAUAAGCUCGAGUGAGUAGAUUUGAUUACUGGUCUACUGGGCGCGGCGGUAUUAUCACUGUCCUUAUUUUCUCGAAACUUUGGCGGAUGGCAGUACGAAGUAGACACCUGCUGUGCUGUGAUAUUCAAUUCGAUGGGCAGCCAUCCGUGCACGUCGCGAGCUAGUCUCGCGGAAAUCAUCUCCAAACCACCCUGCCUGCUUGGUCAUGCAUGUGUCCAUGUCGCCAUACUAAAAUAGCAUCAGUGUACUACUAGUAAUCACAUAAAUCAUCAUCAUUGUGUUGAUUAGCAUGAGUGGAUCGUCCUUCGUGUGAUACGUACGUCUACUCUAGGUAGAUUAGAGCCUUCCAUUGUGCUUCCGAGUUCCGGCAGCACGUACGCGAAACCACCCGGUGGUGUAGCUCGCUUAAUUAAGAGCACGGCAAGAGAUUAAGGUAAAAGGACUCCCUCUAGCUAUUGUUCGUUUCUAAAAAAAAUCAAUGCUCCAACAGUCUACCAAACCUUUCAAUGAUAUAUAGUUUUGUAAUAACGAACAGACACAAGAUUAUAACUAUUUCAUUGAUAUACACCAGUUUUACAACCCCUUAAAAAGAAGUUGCUGCUUCAAUUUUAAUGAUAUUCAUAACAGUUUUCGAUGCAUUAAGAUAAAGAGAGUAUGACUUUUGAUUGCUUUUUAAGGUGUGUCUGUCCACCAUUCUUGAAGUACGGUGCUCGCAGGCUACUUUUCGAGCUAGUAAACUUUUAAUUUAGUGCACUCUAUUAUUCUGUGUUUCUCGCUAGCUAGAGUUACAGAGCCGCACUCACUCCCAAUUAGUUCUCUUUCAUGGCUGAGCACAAACUAUAGAAAUUAGAUUUGUUAUACCAUUCUUAAAUUUUCCGUUGUUGUGCCCCCUCCUUCCUCCUCUACCUAAUUUGGUGAGCUCCCGCAUGUUUUAUUUUAGUGUUACGGAUUUGAGGGAGGAGACAGACAUGUCUCUAAAGGACCUAGCUAGAAGAUGUUUGGAUUCAUCAGGUAACAGGAGUGGUGGUAGUUGAGACAUCUGGGCACGAGGAGCGGAGGGCACUGUCCAUCACGUGUGGCAUUGGAUAACUAUUUGGACCAUGAGGACUAGGGAGGACCACGGAUGAUCCCUUGACACUACUAGAAAACAGACUUUUGAUCCUAAUUUUUAGUCCCGUUUAAAAUUGAGCCCGGGACUAAUAGAGAUUUAGUUCCGGUUGGAACCAUCGACCAAGACUAGAAUCUCCUGUCCAACGGAUAGUGCAGCAGACUUUUGCAGUAGGGACCUUUAGUCCCGGUUGAUAACUCCAACUGUGACUAAAAACCACCCUUUAGUCCCGGUUGCUACCAAACCGGACUAAAGGUCCUCUAACUUUUAGUCCAUAUGUCACAUGUGGUGUGCAGUUGAGUUGGUAAGAAAGAUACGCGCGAGACAAGAGGUCUUGGGUUCGAAUCUCACACACACAAGAGAGAUGUCUGCAGGUUUUAAAUUGUCUUGGGUUCGAAUCUCACACACACAAGAGAGGUCUACAGGUUUUAAAUUAUUUUAAGUUUCCAAGAUAAGCUUUAAUCCCUUGGGAAAACCGGGACUAAAGGGUUUUUUUCAACCGGGAUUACAACCCAUCUAUCUACUCCACCAUCAUCAAUGAGUUGAGUUAGGGUAUGUUUAGUUUGAGCCGUGACUAAUUAGCCAAAUAAUCUUGUCCAUAUAGACAUCCAAAAUCAGAUGACUAGCAGGACUGCAGGAGCGUUGUGUGGCCCAAGCAGCUCUCUGGCUAGGAGUCAACUAAAUAUGCCUUCGGCUAGGAAUCAACUAAAUAUGCCUUCUAGUGUGGUAGUACGGGUGGAGUGUAAAUAUACAGGGAAGCGAGAUAACGACGACAUGGGCUCGCCUAGAUGGUGACGUGCAGAAAUUUAGAUAUAGAUUUGUGUUUAUUUAAGUGUGGUGUGUGGAUGUGGGUGUGUGUGGGCCUUGUUUGGAUGUAGUCGGAUUCACAUCAAUCCACAUGUGUUGAGGUGGAUUGGAGUGAAACUUGAACUAAAUUCCACCCCAAUCCACACCAAUACAUAUGGAUUGAAGUGAAUACGACAACAUCCAAACAAGGCCUAAGUGUGUGUGUGUGUGUUUAUUUAAGUGUGGUGUAGAUAGACCUAAAGAAAUACAAGCGACCGCACUAGGCACAUAAACCACUGAUUCAUAUGCACGGCAGCUCCAUGUGUGAUAUGGCGGACAGCCGGUAGCCCUGCACGUAUAUAUACUACUGUACACGGUUCUCCGUCCGUGUACAAACACUGAGAACGAAGCCCAAUACUCAAUGGAGAGAGUACAUGCGUGGUCAUGUGCCUAAGUUAAACUAGCCAUGCUUCUUCAUAAAUCGGCAGCUUGAGACGCAUAUACACACUGUCUGCCGAUCGAUCGAAUCACUCGUCCAUGUACACGAUUCUCAAGCCUCCGAUUGUAACCUGUCCCGUUACCGGAACCAGCGUGACGGUGACACUGUCGUCUCCUUCGGCUCCGAGGUCUUCCAGCAGCUCAUUUAGCGCCACCGUCAUCCUGGUCCGUAGCGCCGUUCCCUCCUUGCCGGGAUGCUUCAGGGUAACGAAGGACCCGGCCAUCUCCCUCCCUCCCGACGGGACCCUGUGGUAGUCCCUCGCGUUCACGUACACGUCGAACCUGACGAAGUCCCCGGCGUCCGCCUCGAUGCCCUCGACCACCAGCACCUCCUCCGCCGCCGCCUGCUUCUCCUGCGCUCUCGGACGACGCCGCCGCCGCACCUCCGCUGUCACUGCCGCGUCGAGGGCCACCGGGAAGCGAACGGACUCCUCCAGACGACCACCACCCUUGGCCUUGGGGUUGACGCCGGCCGUGGUCGGCGGCCGCGCGUGGAGCCACGGAAGGCCGACGCCGCCGUACGUGUAGCGGAGUUUCUCGGUGCGGAGCACGUCGCGGACGGUGAUGCGCACGAGGCGGGCCUCCUCGUCGUAGAGGAGGAAGGACGAGUCGAGCCAGUCAGGGUCAGUGAAGUCCUCGUGGGUCCGGUUGCCGGUGGCGAUGCGGCGCCAGCACUCCCAGAGGCGGUCGAUGUUGCCGUGGUGCGGGUAGAAGAGCGGGUCGCGGCCGGCGGAGUAGUAGACGCCCAUGUUCUCGGCGUUGGGGCGCGAGUUGUCGCCGGUCCAGGUGUGCAUCGAGUUGUGUGGCGCCAACUCCACCGUGCCCGCACCUGGCUUCGCUGCGUCGCCGGCGCGGUAGGGCUGCCCCAUGAAGAGGGAGGGCAACGCUGCGCCGCUAAUCAUCUGAAUGAAAAAGUUUUUAUAUAUUUACCACAUAUAAGUAAUAAGCCUCUAAAUUAGUGAAACUUUAUUUAAAGCAAAUAAGCCGGAGACUGAGAUUUUCCAGAGACGGGAAGAGAUAACACAAAGACGUACGGCAGAUGGAUCGAGCACCUGUUUAUACAUGACCCGAAGGUUGUGCAGGAUCUGCUGCUCGUCGGUCAAGUUCUUCUCCAGUCUAUAAGAGAAGUCCAGGUCAGCCACCUUGGGCGGCGCGUGGCUCGGCUCCCGUAUCGGGUCGUACAGCGGCGACGCCUCAUCGGUGAACACCUCAGGGAUACCCAUGCCCUCGGGGACGUCCCAGCUCCAGAUGGGCAGCGCGAACGCGGGGUCCCCCAGCAGCUUGGCCGCGAUGCGCUCGAAGAAGUAGAGGUAGGCGCGGUGGAAGGGGAAGAAGAGCCACGAGAAGUGGAUCUGUAUGCCCAGCUCCGGGUACCCCAACUGCCGGUGCGCGCCGGUGCAGUAGGCGCAGUGGAUGUUGGCCUGCUGGUAGAAGCUGCGAGGGUCCGACUGCGGCAGCGCCUUCAUCAGCGCCACGGCGCGCGCGUACUUGGCCAUGUACUCGGCGCCGACCACAUGCACCGGCCUGCGCGUCCGGAGCGGCUCAGCCGGGUCCGGGAACGUGAAGUUGAUGGGACCCGACGCGGACGACGUCGACGGCGGCGGCGGGCAGCACUGGAAGGGCGGGAGCGCGUGUGGUGGGAGCACGCCCUUGACGCACAGCUGGUCGGUGAUAAUGGGUCGUCGUGCUCCAGUAUUUCCACCGCCGCUGGUCCUAUUGGCGUCCUUGCCGUGCGACGAUGGAGCCUUGGAGGCGUCAGUGGUGCAGGGGAGGAGGUAUGCGUCGAGGCCGCUGGCGGCGAGGAUGCUUCUUGACAGCGAGUGUGCGCAUGGGUCCAUGACGAGAGGGAGCAAGGUGAUAGCAGCGGCGGCGAAGGCGCACAAAAGAAUGAUGCGGAGUGUGAGCAGACCACCAUUUCUACUACUACUGCCCGCCAUGGCGUUUGUGUUCUCGUUGCUACGACAGGCGCAGCUUGCACCGGCGUGAAGAACUACUCGUAGCUAACCAACUUAUUACCAAGUACUAGUAACCAAGUAUACAUAUAUAUAGGGAGGCCUGGGGCUGGGCGGGAGCCACGGAGGUAAAAGAAAGCGAAACGUAUUUAAAAAGUUUUUAUUUUAAAUCUCAGGAGCCUGCGCAUAUUGACAUUCGGCUGUGGCUGAACUGCUGCGCCACAGUUCCUCAGCUCACUGCCGCAGCAGCCGGGUAGUUCAGCCGAACGCGUCGCCAUCCUGAGGUGGAAACAAUGAGAUGGAAAUAAUGUAAAAGAGUUUUAUCGCUAUAAAACUUUUUUUAUUUUUAUAAAACUUUUAUUAUCUUUUUUCUUUAUUAAUACAUAAUGUCGAGUAAACUCUGAUGAACACUAUUAAGACUGGCCUAAUGUCGAGUUGUGGACCUAGGGGCUGCUAUAUGCAACACUAGCCGUCGAAUAAGGCAUUGUUUAGUUCCCAAAAAAUGUUAAGAUUUUCCAUCACAUAGAAUCUUGCGGCAUAUAUAUGGAGCAUUAAAUAUAGAUAAAAAAUAAGUAAUUGUAUAAUUUACUUAUAAUUUAUGAGACAAAUAUUUUGAACCUAAUUAGUCCAUGGUUGGACAAUAAUUACCAAAUACAAACGAAAGUGCUACAUUAACCAAAAAAUCAUAGAUUUUAGUAAACAAGGCCUUAUAGCCAUCCUCCCAUAUUAAUAACAUUUGUAUCUUUGAAUUAGAAAUUCAUAGAUUAAAGUAAUAAUAUUAAUUAUACACUAUAAAUAUUAAUAUAUAUAUUUGUUUAAAAUUGAUAAAAUAUUUAAUUUAUUAGAAGUGAGAAUAGUUAAAUAUACUAUAGGACAUUAAAUUAUUUCUAUAACUAAACAAAGUCCAAUAUUUUAAUAUGUGAUGUAUCACAUGUUCGUGUACGUGUAGAGGUGCGGAUAAAUGAGUAUUGUGGGCUUCUAUGUUUUAUUAUAUAAUUCUUAAUAAUAAAGCAGAAAAAUCUGUUUUAUGCAUAAAUUAUUUCUAUAGUUAAGUAAAACCAAAUAGUUUGGUAUAUGAUGUAACCGCAUAAACAUUCAUUUAUUAUUUUAUUUAUACACAAAUGCGCAUGCAUGUAGCUGUCCGGCCUAGUAAUGGCCAAAGAAAAAUCAUAAAUGCAUACAACGCAUAUGAACGUGAUGGCGGCACUAUGCUACGGCGAUUGCUCAGCCGUGAUGAUUGGCCUAAAAUUUAGGCACACAACAUUCUAUGGGUUUUCAAAGCUGCAUCAUACAGGCUUUGUUUAGUUCAACCUAGAACCUAAAACUUUUUAAGAUUUUCUAUUACAUUAAAUUUUGUGAGAAAAAUAUUAAAUAUAGAUAAAAAAAUAAGUAAUUACACAGUUUAUCUGUAAUUUACGAAGCGAAUUUUUUAAGUCUAGUUAGUCUAUGGACUAUGGUUGAAUAAUAAUUGUUAAAUAAAAACAAAAAUGCUACGAGAUCUAAAAAAUUUUCACCUCCUCUAAACAAGGUCAUAAUAUCUUAUUUAUACUACGUGAAAUCUGUAGUACAAGAUGUUUCCUGUCCAAAUCUAAGGCUUUAUACCUAAAAUUUAAAAACCUUUUAAGAUUUUCCAUCACAUUGAAUUUUGUGGAAUACGUAUAAAGCGUUAAAUAUAGAUAAAAAAAUAAAUAAUUAUAUAAUUUUUUUAUAAUUUGUGAGACAAAUCUUUUAAACCUAAUUAUUCUAUAAUUAAACCAUAAUUAUUAAAUACAAACGAAAGUGCUACGUUACACGAAUAUUUUUCACCUAGCAACUAAACAACGCCUAAUAAACCUUAGAUUGCUGUAGUGGCAAGCUACAACCUGCUCUUAAACGUCGCUGGUGACAGUGACACGAAUGCGAGGAACAAGUACUGCAUGAUGUGGGGGCCGCGUACGGCGUACCUGCGCGGCGGAGGACUCGUUGCAACCGAACGGGAGAUCACCGACGAGGAGCGGCCGCGGCGCUCCACGUACGGGCCACGGCACGGCAGUGCUCGAGCGCAAUGGGGAGCGUGGUGUCGUGGCCGUGAACGACCAUGGCGGUGGAGUCCCCGACGAGGCAGACGUCGAUGCCCGCGGAGUCGACGACGUGGACCGCCGAGGGGUAGUCGUAGGCGGUGACGACGACGGUGAUAGGCUCGCCGCGCGGUGAUGCUUCCCGCGGAGGGUGGUCACACCAUCACGCGUCGCGCGCGCCGCCGAGGACUCCUGCAGGCGUGUGGCCCCCCUAGACGGUGGACUCCGGCACGUUGCUCAGCAGCCGUGCCGCCGCCGCGCCACCUACCGUGCGAGGAGGGAGAGGGACCGCCGCAUCGUGUCUUGUUGCGAAGCGGCAGCGCGCGCAUGUGGGAGGGACGGCCGCUUCGACCACCAACGCAUCCUCGGCGCACUUCCGCUCGCUUUGUCUGGACUGUGGAGUGGUCGAGCCGUCAAGGGCUGAUUUGGUGUGACCGUGUGGGGAGUUGCCGAGUGGGAAUUGGGAAAGUCCAGAUGGGCCGUUGUGUGUGUUUUGGGCUGAGUUGUGGGCUGCUUUACGUCUGGAGUCGAAUAAGAGCUAGAAAAUGGCAGAAAAUAAUAAUUUGAGACCUUAGUAUCCUAUACAUGUAUAUCUCCUAUAUACGUCUAAAAAGAACAAAAACAAAAACAACAGACUUUUUUUUAAGGUCGGUCUCCUACGUAUAAAAAAACAAAAAAAAAGUAUGGAACUAUCACUAAUGCCGUCAAAUUGUUGAUAUCAGGUCCAUCGUCCUUGUCCACGCCCCUCUAUUGUACUGCUGCAGGCCAUGCUGUGAGGUCACAUUUGUUUCUCUUAUGGCUAAUUUCUCAUCAUGAAUAAAAUGAACUGAAUGAUGCAUGUUGCGUUGCUCGUGAGCUUCUUACGCAUGCGUAGUACUCUUCGGGAAAUUGAUGUAUCAACUGCGUGUAAAAUAUCAAAAGCUGAUGUAUUUUUUUUUAUAAUUUUGUCAUAAUCUCGAUGUCGAAGCCUAUUAUUCAUACCUGCAAUAAAGCCUGUCAUUUGAUCAAAUAUGUUCAGUUCAAACUCUCCAAAUAUGUUGGAGAGGAGAGAGAUAUAAAAAACGAUUUCUAUACAAAUUACUCUCCGAAUGAUAAUUUAGAGAGUAAGUUUUUUUUCUUAAGAAAACUCUUGAGGAUGCUAUUAGAAUUUCAGUAUGGAGUACUCUAUAUAUUUCAGGCAGUCAUUUCUUCUGCAUGCGCACGUUGCAAAGCGUUUAUUAUUUUGGCUUAAGCAUCUCGCCCCCCAACUAAUUAAAAAGGCACGCGCCUUCCAAGCGAAAGAGAAUUGAAAAAGGGCCACACUUUUUCUAUAUAAAAAGGCGGUUCUUUAUAAACGACCACUGCACGCCGAGGCCGAUCAGACUAAGACAAGUUAUAAGCCGCGCACACCACAAACCACUACCAAGUUAUGAGCACCGGUUUUUUUGUUUCAAUCAUCCGCUCGAUCGAUCGAUUCAUAGGUCGUCAUGGACAAAAAAUCCUGCCAGACAGAGACAGUGCCUCGUGCGUACGGCGUUCUUCGGUGCCUAACCCUCCCUGUACACCCCAUGAUCCGUUUGCUUCGAACGCGAUCGAGUGAACGCGCACGGACCCUUUUGCUGGAGAGCAACAACAUCAGAGCGAUAUCGAGCUGGGUGGCCAAACAGACUGACCGAUCGACCGCCGUCGAUCUCCCUCUCCUGUGCGCCGGCGGCGACCAGUCAAGCCGGAAAGGAACGGCACACACUGCACGCUGCCCGUGCCGUGCCGCUGCGUACGUGCACGUCCCAAUAAUUGUGGUGACUGGUGAUGCUGCCUGCUUGCUGGCCGGGUGCAGCAGGUGGUGGAGUGGUAGGUGCUUUGUUCGUGGGGGUGUUUAGCCGCUCAAAAGGUGUGGGAGAGCUUUGGCACAGCGCGUACUAUGGGCUUGUUUGGCACAGCUCAACUUCACUACUAAAGUUGUUUUUUUAGAAAAUAGCUUAAUGAGUGACUUUCUAGAUGAAGCUGAGCUGUUUUGGAAAAAGUGUUUGGCAAAAUAGCUUCACCAACUACUUCAUACAUAGUUGAGAGAGAGAAAUGAGGGAGAAGCUGCAAUAAGCUACUUUUUUUCAGCUUUAUCCAACUUAUGUAUUUGUGAGAGGAGGAGAAAAACAGCUUCACCCAUGAAGUUGUUUUGGAAAUAAGUGUUUGGCAAAAAAAACAGCUCAGGAAGCUGUUGUGAGCUGUAGCCGUAUAUAAUAACGCGAUAUGUUCAUGUGCCAGUUCAGCAAAGGAGAUCGCCGUAUCUUGCUGUGGGUAUCAUAUAAUCAUAUAUAUAUGUGCAACGUGACAGGGUUUCCAUGUACUAUUUGAUGCAGUAGGAACAAUAUAUAUGUCUGCAAAUAAUGGUAGCUACUGUAUGUAUAAUAGUAUUAUUUGUAAAGCCCCAAAGCAAAGUGCCAUAUGUGGAUAGUUAAGAUUACUAGUAGUAUAAUCCAAGGAGAAUUAUAGUAUAGUAGCAUGCAUGCAAGUGGUGCGGAGACUGGAAUGGAACCUUUAUUACCUGAGUCUGACGUAAAAGGUGCAGCGGAAGCGCAUGUGUUUGCCGUAUACCGCUACUCAAUUCUCAUCAUAAACUGCAGGGCAGAUAUCACUGUCGGCAACGCAAUCUGAUCCGCGCGCUAGCCAUUUUCUUCAUGCCAAGAUUCCUUUGGUCCACCAGCUGGCCUGGCCUGGUCUAAUCAGCACAACAGCCGGUCUACUGUACAAUGCUAUGCCUGAUGGUAUAGGAGUACCUGUAGUCCAGUACUAGACGCUGUCCUUGUCUCUGUAAUGCCAAUGCAAAUGCAACGUGUUUCACAGAACGCAAGAGACGUCUUGGUCGAAUGCCUCUGUAAUGCUUAUCUGCAUCCUUCUGUUUGUUCUCAACUACGUACCUGUUCGUGGAAACGAACCGCACCAAUGGACAGAAAACGUCUCCCCCUUAAUUAAUUGCAACUUGCGCCGGAGGGCCUGACGAUUACUGAUCGAGAGGCUGAUGGUUUCACUCCACUGCCGCACAACGCCUCCGAUCCGCCUAGCUCCAAGAUUCGUAAAAAUGAUGAUGAACACAAGACUGGGUUCACACAGAUUCGUAAAAAUGAUGAACACAAGAUUCGUAACCACUGGACGCUUUGUUCUGAACCUUCUCCGCCCGUUGAGCUUGCAUUUUAAUAUUUGGUAGAGUUUUACUAAAAAAAACUUAGCACUGCUAUAUCUGAUGGUAUAGUACCUGUAUUUUUUCUGGUCAGAGUACCUGUUUUUUAUCGGCCGAAGAGAGUACCUGUUUUUUUAUCGGAUGUCUCUUACCUGUGUUUUGUUAGAUGUCUCUGAAGAGAGUACCUGUUUUUUAUCGGAUGUCUCCGAAGAGAGUACCUGUUUUUUAUAAGAGUACCUGUACAUUGAUAAAAUUAGGUUAUAAUAAAAGCUCCAGGGGGAUCAUCUUAAAUUCUUUAAUCUACCGCUGGAGUGAAGGAGACUGGAGACUGCCUGAGUCUGACGUAAAAAAGGUGUGUCGAGAGCGCAUGUGUUUUCCGUAGUACUCGUCUACUCGAUGCUCAGCAUAAACUGCGGCGCAGAGAUAUGCCUGUCGGAAUUCCAAUCUGAUCCGCGGCUAGCCAUUUUCUUCACGCCAAGAUUCCUAAUUUGCCUCCAGUUUGCUCGGCCGGCCUGCUGGUCUAAUUAACUAAUCAGCACUACUGAUGGUCUGCACGCUGUUCCUCAAUUUUGUUGGGAUUAACCAACGCCUUAGUAUUGUGGAUAUCGUGAUUAUCGUCUCUAGUAGGCCGGAGUACAUGCUAAUGCAUGCAACGUCUUUCACAGAGAACGUCUCCUCCAUUUGCAACCUGCGGACGACGCCUCCGUCUUGCUGACCAGGAGCUCCAAGAUUCAUGUGUUUAGAAGAGAGCGCUUGAGGUCGAUUAAUAAAGUUACGCCAUGUUUAGAUCCAUUAGCUGCUAUUUUGCUAGCUAGGGUAUUUAGCUAAUAAUUAGCUAAUUAUAAACUAUAGGCUAGACCUGUUUAAAUUCAAAGCCUCUACACAGAACAGGAAGUUCAGAUUGUGGGUGUGGUGGGGGGUCGGGGCUCUAAAAAGAUUAUUUUAUACUCCCUCCAUAAUUAUAAAAAAAAUCAUUCAUCAGGACAGCCACACGAUCUUCAGCUCCUUGUUUUUAUAAUAAUAUUUAUAAAAAAGUGGUACUUCCUCUAUACUCAUAAAGGAAGUCGUUUAAGACAACGACAUGGUUUUCAAAGCCUAACUUUGAUACAUUUUUUUUAUAAAAAUAUUUAUUAAAAAGUCAUAUAUGUAUAUACUUUUAUGAAUGUAUUUUUUAAGACAAAUCUAUUCAUAUAGUUUUCACAUUUUCAAAUUCAAUAAUAUUCAUGAUUUAUAUUUCUAAUGUUUAACCCAAACCUGUCCAAAACGACUUUCUUUUAUGGGUAUUGAGGGAGUAUAUGUAUAUUUUUAUAAAGAUAUUUUUCAAGACAAAUGUAUUCAUGUGAUUUUUAUAUUUUCAAACUCAACAACUUAAAAAUUAUUCAUGAUUUAUACUCCCAAUGCUCGACUCAACUUUGUCCAAAAUGAUUUUUUUAUAGGUAAGGAGAGAGUAUCUAUUAUAUUAAUGGAAUACUAUCUGCUUACGCACGGUUGCUAAAAAGGGGUCGAAAGAUUGAAGCAUCAAUUCUGGUGUCAUCUUUUGAUGAUCGGAAGAGGUAAUUGAAAAAAAAAAUGACGAACAAGAGAUACUGAUGCUGAUUUCUAUGUUGGUUUGCUCUGUUACGGAGUCCUGUUGCUCUGCCAGGGCAGACUGCUACUAGUGACAGUACGUACUCCUGGUUGCUGUUAUCGACUGGGAGAGAGAAAAACCAAAAGUCGAGCAUGUAUUAUGCAUUGCCAGUUCUCUGGAGCAAAGCUCAUGUGCAAAGGAGAAGGAAACAGGCCGGAUCGCGGCUCUAUACACAGCAAAACCAAGAAGCGAUGGGACAGCCCCAUCCCAUAGGGCGGUCGAUCAGUAGGUAGGUCACCAAAUCUUGGCGUCGAUGACGUCGGCUCCAGCGUCGAUGCUGGCAUCGUCGCCCGCGAUCUGGUCGAGAACGAGCACGAUCCCCAUGGCGAACGCCGCGUCGAAGCCGGGGCUGACCCGCAGGACGAACACGUCGCGGCCCAUGACAACGCGCGCGCCCUCGUCCACCUUCCGCCUGAUCUCCGCCACCACCUUGGCCUUCUCGCCCUCGGCCCUGGGCGCCGCCACCACGCGGCAGCACCGGCGCGGGAAGGACCCGUCCACGCGGAGCAGCUCGGGGGCGGCGGCCCCGGCGGCCCGCGGCGGCGGGAGGAGCUCGAUGACGGCGCCGGCCGCGGCGCCGCCGAGGAUGGACGGGCGGCGGGCCGAGAAGAGCGCCUUCUGGCCGUCGGCGCGCGCGCCGAGGAAGCCCUCCCAUCGCUGGUGCAGGGACGGGCGCCGCCGCCGCACGGUGAGGAGCGGCUCCCCCGACGGGCCCAGCAGCGCGAGCUCGCCCGCCGACGCGGCGCCCCCGCCGUGGCCCCGCCCGUAGGUGUCGGCGCGGAAGGCGAGCCCGCCCGUGCGGGCGUCGUAGGCCGCGAAGCCGUCGCCGGGGGAGAAGUGCGAGGUCUUGCGCACCGUCAGGACGCGUUCCUCGGGGUCGCAGUACUCCGCGCCCACGAUCGGCAUCCCACUCUGCUCUGGCUGCUGCUGCUGCUGCCCGGUGGCCACGCACCUGAGCCUGAGCUUGACGCCGGGCGCGCUUGCUUGCUUGCUUCAGGGGUUGCUGCUGUGUGCUCUCUGCGUGGCGAAGCAGAGGCGCGGUGCUCGGAGAUUUUAAGUAGGGGCGAAGCGAGGGAUGGCGCGGUCGGUGGAGAUUUCAAGGCUGAGCGAGAGAUGAGGCAUUGUUUAGUUUUGAAAAGUGAAAAGUUUUCGGUCCUGUAGCACUUUCGUUUGUUUGUGAUUAUUCAAUCAUAGACUGACUAGGAUCAAAAGAUUUGUCUCGUGAUUUACAGCUAAACUGUGUAAUUAGUUUUUAUUUUUGUCUAUAUUUAAUAUUUCAUGCAUGUGCUACAAGAUUCGAUAUGACAGGAAAUUUUAAAAACUUUUUGGUUUUUAGCGUUAACUAAACAAGGCCUGAACAUGUUGAUGUCGCAACGCCUGCCCUUUUCGGACGCCUGGACUCGGUCCACAGGCAAGGCUGAACUAACAACUGGCAUGACUCUGUAACACUUUUAUUUGUAUUGGCUCAAAAGAUUUCGUCUUAUAAAUUAUAUAAGCAAAUUAUGUAAUUAGUUAUUUUAAUCUAUAUUUAAUGUCUUAUGCAUGUAUCGCAAGAUUUAAUGUAACAAGAAAUCUAAAUUUUUUUCAAGAUUAAAAAACUAAACAAGGCCUCAGAUACAAUCAUACAAUGCAGAUUUAACUCUAGUUAUUAUAGUUACUCUACGUAGCAAAGAAUUGAAUCCGAUUAAUUGUGGUUAGUGGAUUAAGCCUACUCUACGUAUCAUCAAAGGAUUGGGAACCGGGAAUCAUCAUGAUUUCCAUCGUGUGUGUGUGUGUACGGUUGACCCAGACUCACAGUUGUCACUGCACGUAUGAGGUUGGGCGCAUGCUAGAUUUAGGCCUUGUUUAGAUACACCCAAAAACCCAAAACUUUACAAGAUUCUCCGUCACAUCAAAUCUUAUGGCACAUGCAUAAAGUAUUAAAUAUAGAUAAAAAGAAUAACUAAUUGCACAGUUUAUUUGUAAAUCACGAGAUGAAUCUUUUAAGCCUAGUUACUUCAUAAUUAGACAAUGUUUGUCAAAUAAAAACGAAAAUGAUACAGUGUCAAAAUCCCAAAACUUUUUGCAUCUAAACAAGGCCUUAAGGUUGGUAUAUAUACUCCCUCGGCACUAAAGCAAAUUGCUCGAUUGUACAGUACUUAUUAACAUGGCUUAUCAGUUAUCAGUCAUGUAUAAUGUUUUUUUCUCAAUAAAUAAAUCAGCGAACAAUGCUUUUCAUAACAGGGCCAGUGUUGUUCUCGCUUCCCUAGAAUUCAAAAGCCUUUGAUUUUAACCAUAACUCAAAAAAAUAUAAAAUUUAAUAUCUAUAGUACAUAGUAUAAUUAGAUAGAUUGCUGAAUCUAUUUCAUAAUAAAUUUCAAAGUUAGAUUGCUGAAUCUAAUUGGUACGUCCUGUUUUCUUGCUCUUUUGUUCUUCUUCUUUAUAUUAUUAAUCAUCCAUUAUCUUCUAUAUAUUAAGAAUAAUUUUAUUAGGUUGGGAAAUUUACUUAGAGCAAAUUACGUAAAAAUUUGUACUAUAAGUUAUGUAUAUAUAUUAAAGACAUCAAACAACAAAAAAAAUAUGUAUAUCAGUUACAUUAUUCAUAAAUUUAUUAUAUUGAGUUUAAAUAUUCUCAAAAAUAAGGUUAUUUAAAAAAUAUGUUGACAAAUUGCUAUAACAACUUUCUCUUCUGACAAUUAUGCACAAGAAUUGAACUGCAAGGGUCAUGUAGAAAAUUGUCAUGUUAAUUUAUCUAUAAAAUCAUGUAAAACAUAUCUACAUUAAAAAAACUAAAAUAAAGGGUUGUGGUGACCAGUUUUAUCCCAUAAAAAUAUUAUACAUAGAAGUUAUGAGUACAUAGCUGUGUAACUUUUUAAAAAUAAAAAACUGGAAAGCAGUUUUGUAAAAGAAAAAAAACGGCAUGGAAGUUAUACGACCAUUUACUAAUUUUUAAUUUGUAAACGAAAUUCCUUGAUUAGUGGAGCCGGUAUGAUCGAGCUGGUCCAAGCGCGUGGCGCGAACACAGUGGGCUCAUCGACUCGAGCGAAGAUGCAGCUGCGGGCUGUUGGCAGUGUGAACAAUGAACACUCAAGAGACGUAUUAUACGACGUGUGGGACACUGAGAGUGGGACUGCGGGGUGGACCGGCCGACGGCCAACAGUUGGUUCAGUUUACUCCCCUCAGGUCUUGUUUGGAUGUUGUCGUAUUUACUUCAAUCCAUGUGUGUUGGUGUGGAUUGGAGUGGAAUUUAGUUCAAGUUCCACUCCAAUCCACCUCAACACAUGUGGAUUGAUGUGAAUACGACUACGUUCAAACAAGGCCUCAAGUGUGUCCGCGUUCUGCGGAUGGUGCCGUUCACGCGCGCGCGUGCUUCAAUUCGUCGUCGUCGUCAGGUCAGGGACAGAAGCGUCGGUCGGUGGCCGUCCGAUUCUCUUCUUUCCAAGGGUGGGUCGCAGCAAGUCGCCCAGCGACGGGAACGUGUGUCGUCGGGUGGAUUUGGGUGGACGGUCAGGCUGUUGUCCGCCUCGCGGAAACGAGUGGAUCUCAGCAAACACCCCCGGGCUCACGUUUUUGGACUUUUGGCUCGCCGUGCCGCGGUGCUGGCACCUAACGAUCGGAGUGACAGGCCCCUAGCGUGGAAAACAAUUGUCCUUUCUCUUAUUCUUCUUGCAAAUCUCAAAUUAAUUGAUCUUGUAAAUCAGCAUUAUUAACAUAGCAGCAAGUUGAGCGGAGGUCAGUAGUCUAGAAAGAGAGGCAUUAAUUUGUUCCUUGAUCGUGCUUCACAAUGUGCUAUUUUCCCCAUGUUUCAAACCUCUUUUUUUCGUUUGAGCCUCGACGCCACAUGCAGGAUGGAAUUGAAGCAUCGGAAAAUCAAGCAUCCAGGAAAGUCCAUGCAUUGAUGCCUGACUUUGGAGAAAAAACAUGGUCUCACUUGUACGUGACUUGAGAAGAUGAGACUUGUUACUAGACGAGUAAAUUAAUUGCUUCGGGCAUGUUGUUUUGAUGCAAUGCUUGCCAUUCCAGCUCUUUAUAAAAACGGAGCACCGGUGUUGACUCAAACAUCUGAGCAUCGGCACGCUGUGGCUAGUCUAAGGUAAGGUAAAGGUAAACCCAAAAGUUAGGGAGGGCAAUGCUUAAACUACUGGCAAUGGCAAUGGUAUGGUAUGGUAACUCAACCAGCACCACAAAUAAAUGAAUCACAGCUCUGGAAAAAUCGUUGCGUGCGCAUCUUGCCAAGUCACCAACCUCUGUAGUACGUCCACUGUUCUGGUGACGUGUUAAACACUUUCCACGUCGCUGACUCAGCAGCCGGCGCACGUCAAACACGUCGGCGUCAGGGAGGAUUAUAUGAUUGGAAAGAAGAAGCUUCUUCAUUCCCAGCGCCGCGGACCUGCACUGCAUGCAGCCCUAGAAAUAUCCUGUUCCCGUGGCAUGGGCGAUAAUCUAGUGAAGCGGCAGCAUGGACACAGGACACUUAGGCCUUAUUUAGAUCCAAAAACUUUUUAGAUUUUAACACUGUAGCACUUUCGUUUUUAUUUGACAAACAUUGUCUAAUCAUAGAGUAACUAGGUUUAAAAGAUUCGUAUCGUGAUUUACAGGUAAACUAUGCAAUUAGUUAUUUUUUUUAUCUAUAUUUAAUGUUCAUGCAAUUGCCGCAAGAUUCGAUGUGACGAGAAAUCUUGUAAAGUUUUGAGUUUUUGGGUGCAUCUAAACAAAAGCUUUCCAUUUGCUGGUUGAGCAGGCGGAGCAGCUGACAUCUUGACUUCUCGAGUCUCCCUCCGUGACAAAAAGUACUAAUUUGUUAUGAGAAAAAAAUACUGUUAACUAACUGAUACAUACAUUCAGUUAAUAACCUCAAAGGCAUGGUGCGUGCAGUGCUUCGUCCGUUCGUCGUCACGAAGAAAAAGUUGCCGCUUCGGUGGCCAGAUGGCAGCGAGCCACCACUCACCGUACCAUCGGUGGAAGGUGGAAACGUGUGGGCGGCGGUAGGGGUGGCUCGAGAGGUCGCCUCGACCGUGGAUGUGUAUGCGUCAAACAAACGCCGGGUUUGACGUUUUGGUUCACUGUACCGUGGCGCUGGCACCGACCCUGGUGAAACGUCUUUUGUUACAUACACGGGGAAAGAUCGAUGUUAACCUCGCAUAUAUGCCAAAGACUUGCUUGUCGCUGUGCCCUUACUUGUGCAAGCAACAGUGUCCCGCUUAUCGACUUGGAAGUGGUGCUUCUGUUACCAGCUAGCUAUAAGCUUAUCCGAUCAAGAGAUUAAUUACCCGAUCAAGAGUAAUACUAAUAGCAGGGGUUAACGAGAAAACAAGAACCAUGGUCCGUGGCGAGCUAAAAUUAGCCAGGGUUCGGUUCGGCUCACCUAACCUGUGCUCCCCGUCUCGGCGACACCAGCAUCACGCUAGGGACCCCAACUCGCGCAUGCCUGAAUCAGGUUGCCGGCCGGUUCACGUCAGUAGUCAGACGCGUUCACGGUCGUGACUCGUGACUUGCAGUUUCGGAAAUAUCCCGGCGCGAUGGUUGCCACCGCGUCCACGGAGUUUCUCUCUUUCAGGCAGGUCCGAUUCGGGGUGACGCGACGCGAGAGGCGGCGUCCGAACGCGAGUGCUCUGCUCUCCCCCGCUCGGCUGCGCGCGCCACGUUUGCUGCGAGGGAGUCAGGAGUGGAGAGGACAGUAGGACACGACACGAAGGCAGGUGCGCUGCUGAUCGUGGGCAAAUCCAUCGCCCGCCCUCGUGCUCCGGAAUUCACGGAGGCCGGCGGGGCGGGGACGCCGGGGAGCCGAGCUGGUACGGCAGAUACGGCCCGCGGCGGAGGGUGACGCGACGCGAGCGGCGGCGUCCGAACGCGAGUGCUCUCCCCCGCUCGGCUGCGCGCGCCACGGCGGGGCAGAGAAAACGGGUCGGCCGGGCUAAGGACCUACGGGGACGACGAACCCACUGAGGCUUUGUUUAGAUAAAAAAGUUUUUGUUUUUUUUGAUACUAUAGUAUUUUUUUAAUUUUAUUUGAUAAAUAUUAUAGGGUAACUAAAUCUAAAAAAUUCGUCUUGCGAUUUUAAAGCAAAUUGUAUAAUUAGUUUUUUAUUUUCAUCUAUAUUUAUUGCUUUAUGCAUGUGCCGUAAGAUUCGAUGUCACGAGAAAUCUUGAAUUUUUUUUAUUUUUAAGGUGAACUAAACAAGACCGCGGUUCGAUUUGGUUAAAAACAGUUUUUCAGCUAAGUAAAUAGGGUCUUAGCUUGGGGCCUUGUUUAGUUCCAAAAGAAUUUUGCAAAAAAAUUUAGAUUCUCCGUCACGUCGAAUCUUGCAACAUAUGCAUGAGACAUUAAAUAUAGAUAAAAACAAUAACUAAUUAUACAGUUUGCCUGUAAUUUACGAGACAAAUCUUUUAAACCUAAUUAGUUUAGAAUUAAAUAAUAUUUAUCAAAUACAAACGCAAGUGCUACCAUGCUUAUUUUGCUAAAAAAUUUGGAAUUAAACAAGGCCUGGAUGUGCUGGCCGAGUAAUAGCACAAGCGCAGCAGCUGGUAAAAAGUGAAGAUUAUGAUGGAUCAACAACAGUUGAUCAUCAACUACGAUAAAUGUAAAUCAAAAUCUUUUUUACAGAUUCUUUUCAGGGAAACCCACUGGCUCCACCAAUAGGCAAGGCUGCAGCGGUGUGAUGUUCAACGAGACCAACUGAUCCUUGCAGGGCAGUAUCUAGAGACAUCAGCCUUGCAUUUUUUUUGCUUCCAAUAGAUGGUUGUCAAAUAGGUCUAUUGGUCUUCUUUAGUAAAAAAAACUUUACUUUGUUCUUUUUUUAUGGAUCGCUGUAAGAUGUUUCUUUUACAGCUCGUGUGCUGGCUUACGGGCCGAACCUUGUAAUAAUUGACCUGAUUCUACCUAUUGGUAGAUUAAGCCGGGUAUGAACUAUCUUUUAUGUGAAAAAACUACUACUACAUACAGUACCACUGCUAGAUGACUCGACGCAGUUGUUGGAACUGUUGAGAUCGUGCAGCUGACUGCUGACGGAAAGCGCCUUGUGACUUGUGAGCCUACGUACAAAGUAAGGCCUUCGAAGAACAAAGAAAAGGCAUAUAGGAAGAACAAAGGAAAAAAAGCAUAUAGGAAGAACAAAGUUAAUAUAUGUACUUUGGGAUAAAAGAAAUCCUAUGAAAUUAAAUUAGUAUCGAAUGUACGAAACUAUAGGAAUUUUGGAGAGAAACUAGCGUGAGGUACUGAGGUUGAACUUAAUUGGAAACUUUCCUUAUGUCUCUCUCUCUUAGAAUUCCUGAGUUGCAUCCAAACACCGCAAUAGAAACUUUUCUGUAUUUUAUUUAAAUUCUUGUAGGAUUGCAUGCAACUAACCUUGUGGUUUUCCUAUUCAUGUGUUUGGAGUCUAUGUUCCAACGAGGGCCCUAAGGAAUGCUCGUACAUCAUAAAUCAAUUACAUUUUUGCUCUUGCCCCAACCAACAAAUGAAAAGUGGAAGAAUUCUGGGGGACUGAAAUCCUACUAUAGGUAAAUUGCUACGAACCCCUUGAAACAAAUUUGGUUCCUACAAAUCAUAUGUAACUCCUAUGAAAGUACUUGUUUCAUAUGAAUUUUAGAGAGAUAGUGAACCUCAUUGAAAUUUACUUUGCACUCUCAUUGAUUUCAUGUGUUUUAGGCCCCCUCCUUUGCAUUUGGGGAUUUUUGGAGGAAGCAUGGAGGAUUUCAUUUCAUAUAGAGUGAGCAGUGUUCAUGCUUUUAGAAUGGAGAAUUGAACCAUAGGAAAACUAAAGGAAAAGUACCUACCUAUUCUAUCAAUUUCAUAGAGAUCGUAGGGAAAGAAAACAUCUAGUCGGACCUCUUUUUUUUUCCUUUCCUUUGUGUAGGAUCGAGACAAAUGUGCCUCAUUGCUAAGGAUGAAGAGCUCUUAGCAGGCUACAAGUAACAUUUGAGAAGAUUAAUACAGUAUGACUAGUUAAUCCAUAACUAACUUUUCGACUCCUUUCCUAUGCUCUAUCUAAAAGGUUUUGCACAUGCAUUCCAAUGUGUUUCUCGAUCUUCUAUUCCUCACAUGCAUUCCUAAAAAAUCCUACGUUUUCUCAAUUCCUAUGUGUAAUCAUCUCUAUGUUUCAAAGGGGCCCUCAUUCUUACUUUUCUAUGUACAUGAUUAAAGAUGUUACGACAUUCUAUCCCUACAUUUGUAUUUUCUAUUCCUAUGUUCUUUACGACAUUCUAUCCCUACAUUUUUAUUUUUCUAUUCCUGAGUUUUUAGAAUCUUGGGUUCCAGAGAGUUCCCAUAGGUUAAAAAACGGACGAGAUCUAAACAAACGUGGUAAUGCUGCAUGCAAGAAAACUGACACAUGACUUUCGCUGCCACCCCAUCAUUUGAAUUUUGAAAGUGGCAAUACAGGGCGAUCUUUGUAUGAAAAAAAGGGUCUCUCAAUUAUACACGUGCUUCUUGCGAUUCGCUGUAUUGCACUGGACAAGUGUGGUGUUUGAAUAAUUGAGAAUCUGACAACCACCUCAACAUGAUAGGGUAGCAGAUCACAAGGACUAAUGACAACUAAUGCAACCACCACAGCAACACGUUCAGCACACCACUAGUUUCCCCAGCGAAUAAAAACUAAAGAUAAACAAAAACUCCUCUCGCUGGCGCAACUUUGCACGUAAUUCACUUUAUCCUAGAUCUAUUCUCCAUCCUGGAGAAAACUGCUCCACAACCGCCUUUCAGAUGAUCUUCAUUCUCCAGCAUGGGGUUCCUGACACCUGAUUGGGAAAAAAAGGCAGCAAGGUUAUCAAGUUGUCUGACUAAUCACAAUUAGUCAGGAUUAUCGGUGCUAUGGUGAUCAGUUAUGAACUAUGAUUAGUCAAGGUUAGUCAGGCUGAUCGGUGCCAUGGUGACUAGGGUCAAUUACGAUUUAAAAACAUUGCAAGGCAGCAAUCAGAAACACAUUUCUAUCUAGCACCCAUAUUGUGUACAGUUCCAAACAAUACUAUACCACCAAGCGACCUUGAUUGCAAAACAUACUCUUUUGCUUUUCAGAAUCUGCAGGCAUAUUUGGAUAAGUUGAUGCUAAGUAAUAUAAUAUAUGAGAAAUUGAGAAUGUUGUACAUCUACAGCGGGCACAAUUUUAGCAUGGCACUUAGUUAUAGAUAAAACAGAGAUGUUCCACAUGGA